AUCUUGUUACUUUAGUCCCACCGCCGGCUCCGCACAGUCGCCAAUAAUACUACUCUCUUCUGCAUCAUCCCUCAAGUUCCCAUUUCAAAAGAUAAUAUUUUGAUUAGUGAGUAUUUCUCUUAUUUUCCUCUUUCUUUGUCUUUCUCUCUCAAACUUGAAAUAUAAUUAAUUAAGGGGAAGGAAAGAAAAAAAAAAUAAAAUAAAAGGGUCCGUCGGUGUUGUUUGAUUGACCUUGAAUCUAUCUGGGAAAGAGGUAAAUUGUUGUUUGAUUUUUUGUUAAAGUUCAGUUUGAACUCUUUUUGUUCUUGAAUUUUCUAUUUUUGUUCUAGCUUUUUGCUAUUUUCUUCUUCUUUUUCUCUUUUUAUGUUUACUGGAUCUCUCCGACUUGGAAUCUUUUAGGUCUGGAUCCUGGUUUCUCGUUUGGGUUUACUGUUAGAUGUGGGUUAUAGGAUUAGACCAAGAAUUUUUGUGUUCUUUUUUAGAUCCAAGCUACUUGACCUCUAUGUUAUUACCUGAACAAUUUCUUUUCUAGGAAAGUUGAAAACUUUCCCGGGAGGUACUUACAUUCUGUCAUAAACGGUGAGAUCUGGGUGUUUCACUUGAUUAUCUGUUGGAUGAUAAGAUUCAUUUGAUUUAUAAUCUAGUCAUGGGCUUUAAUAUCAAAAUUGGCUUUAAUAUCAAAAUUGGUUACUUUAAUCUCCUGCUAGUAAAUCUAUUCAUAUCUUUCAAUAGAAAAUAAUUCAAGAUUAAUUUUUUUUAUGAAUUGGGAAUAUAAAAUUUUCUGUUAUGGAAUUGAUGUUUCAUCAAAGUUUUUUAGUGGAAUUAACUUGUCUCAAUCAAAAUUUGCUGAAAUGAUUGAUAUUUGAGAUUUUGUGCAUAAAUAUUCUGUAGUAAAUAAGAAAAUCUGAAAUGGAAUUUCUAUUGAAUUAUUAUACACAGGAAAGCAUUUAGUUUUUUGCUGGGUUUUAGUAUGUAUUAACUUUUGCUGUUCUUAGCAGGCUUAAAAAUACCGACAGAGUAAGAUAGAUAGGGUUUAAAGCCAUUAGAGAUCCCUACAAAUUCAAGAUGAUGAUGUUCGAUGAGAUGGGAUUUCUUGGUGAUAUGGAUUUCUUCUCUGCGCCUUUUGGAGAAGAUGUGGCUGGUCCGGAAACUGAGCCGGAGCCUACUGUGGAGGAUGAUUAUAGUGAUGAGGAGAUUUAUAUUGAUGAGCUUGAGCGCAGGAUGUGGAGGGACAAGAUGCGUCUUAAAUGGCUGAAAGAGCAGAUCAAGAGUAAAGAAGGUAUUGAUAUUGCUAAGCAGAGGCAGUCACAGGAACAAGCUAGGAGGAAGAAGAUGUCAAGGGCUCAAGAUGGGAUCUUAAAAUAUAUGUUGAAGAUGAUGGAAGUUUGUAAAGCUCAAGGCUUUGUUUAUGGGAUUAUUCCUGAGAAAGGAAAGCCAGUGACUGGGGCAUCAGAUAAUCUUCGAGAGUGGUGGAAGGAUAAAGUAAGGUUUGAUCGAAAUGGUCCGGCUGCCAUUGCCAAGUAUCAAGCGGAUAAUUCGAUCCCAGGCAAGAAUGAGGAUUGUAAUUCAAUUGGUCCAACUCCACAUACCUUGCAGGAGCUUCAAGAUACUACUUUGGGUUCGCUUUUGUCAGCUUUGAUGCAGCACUGUGAUCCUCCUCAGAGGCGGUUUCCAUUGGAGAAAGGUGUUCCUCCACCAUGGUGGCCCAAUGGAAAUGAAGAGUGGUGGCCUCAAUUAGGCUUACCUAAGGACCAGGGUCCUCCACCUUAUAAGAAGCCUCAUGACUUGAAAAAGGCAUGGAAGGUUGGGGUUCUUACUGCAGUGAUCAAACAUAUGUCUCCAGACAUUGCCAAAAUUCGCAAGCUUGUGAGACAGUCAAAGUGUUUACAGGACAAAAUGACAGCUAAGGAGAGUGCAACUUGGCUUGCAAUUAUUAACCAAGAGGAGGCAUUGGCCCGAGAGCUUUACCCUGAUUCAUGCCCACCCUUGUCAUCGACUGGAGGGAGUGGUUCAUUAGUGAUUCAUGAUUGCAGUGAAUAUGAUGUUGAAGGGGUUGAAAAUGAGGGAGGUAAAAAUACGUGGAGGGACAAGAUGCGUCUUAAAAGGCUGAAAGAGCAGAACAAGAGAAAAGAAGGUAUUGAGAUUGCUAAGCAGAGGCAGUCACAGGAAGAAGCUAGGAGGAAGAAGAUGUCAAGGGCUCAAGAUGGGAUCUUCUUUUUACUUAGUAAAUUAUAGAGGAGAAUUUUAUUAGCAAUUGAAAGAAGAGUAACCAGAAAAUGGAAAUUGCAUCUUUUUUUUCGUGGCAUUUUAUCAUUGCAUUGUUGAAUAUUUUCUCCAGUCACAGAGUUCCCUUUCCAUGGAGUUUAAAAGAUUGGCUUACUGUAGAUACUAUAGAUCUUUAUUUAUGUCUAGGUAAAAUACAUCUGUGACUCUAAAUUAUGUCAUAAUUAACACUUUUGUCCCUCUACUGAUUAGAGAAAUGAAAAUGUUAAUCAGGGCAUAAUUAAGGACCCACAUGUAUUCUACCCUAGUUCAAUGAUUAAAAGGUUAUUGUAGUCUUUUUAUUUUCAAUUGCUGGUGAAAGUUCACUUUUUUGGAAGGAAUAACUUAUCAAUUAGAAAGACUAUUAGGGUGAAAUUUAAAAUAUAUGCAAGGAAAUAUGCUUAACCAAAAAAAAAAAAAAAUUAUAUAUAUAUAUAUAUAUAUAUAUAUAUAUAUAUAUAUAUGAAAAGAGAUGAAGGUCAAAUUUGUCUUGCCAUAUUUUAUUUUAUAUACCAAAUGCUGAAAAAUAAUUUUCUUUAAAAAAGUACUUUUUGAGAAGUAUACUUCGGGAUAAAUAAUAAUUUUUCUUUAUUUUAUUUUUAGAUAAUGUUAAAGAUGAAAAACGAACUUUGAGGAGUGUCUUGAUGUGGUCAUUUGGGGAAACGCACUGGAGAGUUGAUGACGGGCUAAAGUGGGCCUGAAACCGGACCAGGUUCAGUUGGCUGUUUCCAACUAUGAAAUAGACAAUAAUAGCCUCAAGACAAGGCUUACUGUUUACGUGCUUUGGUAACAUGCACAUGUUUGGUUUUCUACAGAACAAAUCCCUUUUUCAGAAAAAUUAAUUAUUUUAUUCAUUAAUUAUUUUACUGGCUGUUAAUUAUUUCAGUUGGUUGUUUUGUCAAACCUUAUAAGCAAUAACAUCUAAAAAUUAUUAUCUCAGUUUUAUGAUAUUUGUUAUAUUGGAGAAAUAAUUUAUUCUAAAAUAUUUGUUAUAUUUGUGAUUUUAAGAGUAAUAAAUUUUUUUUUUUUUCAUGUCUACCAUUUGUAUAGGUCUAACUAUCAUAACUUCAAUUUAAUAAUUUUUUUUAAAAAAAAUUAGUAUUUAACGUCUGAUUUAUCAAUAAACAGAUUUUGUUGGUAGUUACCUACAAAUUAGAAAUUUUUAUUGAUAAAAUUUAUUUUUAAAAUUAAAAAAGAUCAUAUAAUUUUAACGAUCGAUUAUCGACAGAAUAGAUUACCAACAGAGUUUACCAAUAAAUUUAAAUUUUAUUGGCAAAAAGUGUGUUAUAAAUUUGCGCGUAGGUUGAUAAUUUAUUAACAAAUUACAAAUAGAUUUUUAUAAAAAUUUUAAAUUUCAAGAGUCAUAAAUGGGCGGGUAAAUGAUGAAAUUUGGCAACACUAAAAUAUAUAAAUUUAUUUAUGAACUUUUUCGAAAAAAAAAAAAAGUGUGGAUAUAAAUUUCAGGUGUCAUAAAUUGCUCCAAAUAAGGCAAGUCACUAAUUCUAACAGACUUGAUGACAUCUGCCUAACAAAGUAGGAUAUUUAUCGUUUGAUUAUUUAAGCAACUAACGGAAGUCAGUUGUUUUAGCAGACUUGCCUUAGUUGGAACUACUAAAGGUUACGGAGAAGGUCAUAGUUUCAACUGAGACAAGUAAAAACACGUUAUUAAAGAAAACGGCGUCAUUUCUUUCUAGUAAUUCCAACUCAUGUCCCUCUUCACUUCCUACGUUUAGCUCAUAAAUGUCAUUACUUGAUUUCCAAUUUGAAUUUAAGCUCAACUCAUUUACGAUUAGCGAGCCAAGUUCCAUUUUUAAAUGAAUCAAACUCGAAAUCAAGUAUAUCAUAAUCGAAUGGAGCUUAAAUUCAUCAAAACUCGACUUUUCGAUCAGUUCAGCUUGAUUUGACUUAUUUACAACCCUAUCUAAUCUCAUUCUGUUUCGAGGACUAUGAUAUAUAUCAUGCUCCUCUUCCUUUAUCAACGUGCUAGUCCAAACCAAGUUUGCUUCGUACUACUAAGAACUUAUGGAGAAUAACAAUUACUCAUAAAUAAAUAUUGCACUUAAAUAAACAAAUGCUAAAGCAUUUCUCAUUCUUUAUAAAUAGGUAAGACUUAAAGAACGAUUGUAUUAACAAUUUUACAUUUUUUUUUUUGUAUAAAUGACAAAACAAAAUUUUGAUAGAAAAAUUUAAAAGAUAUUAUUUUUCUUAGGAAUUUAGUAAUUUUUUUAACUUGAUAUAAUUAUUGGGUAUAUUUAAAAAAUAUAUAUAUAUUAUUUAAGGCCACAAAAAGGAGGUUAAACUAAUUUUGGUUUAAGGCAAUGAAAUAUCAAUUAAUUUUGGUUCGAUUUCGAACUAAACCAAGCUGCAAGAACCAAAAAUCGAAAAUACAUUUUACUUGAAAUCGAACCGAACCAAAAUGGUCAAUCCGGUUUGAUAGGUAUGAAUUCAGUUAAACGAUUUGGUUUUACACAUUAAAUAAACGUUUGGUAUAACCAAUCCAAAUACAGAAAAUUGAAAUUAUGAAAAAAUUUUAAACAUAAGCCUAGACCAAAAACUGAAUAAUUGAACUAAAAAUAAAAAAUAAUUUGGUUCGAUUCGAGUUUUGAUUUUUCCUAAAAUCUGCUCACCCCAGUCAAUUAGAUUCCUAACCCAUCACCAGAUGUCCAUUUUAAUUUCGUGCGUAGUGCUUGGCUUACGCUGGCAGCUGUACAAUUGACCAAAUACAAUUUAUCUUGAAACUUUUAAGGAUUAUUUUAUUUUAAUUUCAUGCAAUUGGUAAUUAGUUUUGCCGCAAUGAAAUGCUGCACGUGCUUAAAAAAAAAAAAGUAAAAAAGGUCUUUGACUUGAUAAACACAAAGCAUUUGAUGUCACAUCCCCAAGUCCGUGGAUAAUACAGUUACUAUUAAACCCACGAAAUGUUCCACAAAUAAAAUAUAAAUUGGAAAACCAAGUUAAUAUUUUAGUAGAUAUCCCUAAUAAUUUUUAUAUUUUUUAACUAUUUAACAAGUGUUGAAUUGAUUUAAUUUUAUCAAUUAAAAUAUUCGUUGCAUUAAGUUGAAAUAUUUAUUAAGUGUAAUUUGUUAAAUUAAAGUGCUUAAUAAAAUAAAAUUUAAAAGUGUUACAGGAGAUUUUAUAAAAAAUGCAUAUAUAAAUUUAUUAUUUCGCUCUAAAAAUAUAAAAAUAAAUUAGAUAUAUUAUUAUUGAAAAUAUUUUAUCGGAAUAUCAUUUUUAAUCUGAUCGUAAAAUUACGUUUGUGAAAUAAAAACCACAUUUAUAGCAAAUUAAGUUGAAUUAUACUGAUUUGACAAAAAUAUUUUUCAAUACAAUCAUAAAUAUUAUUAAUUUUAUAGUGUUCAUUUUUAUUUUAGAAAAAAAAAAAAAACAUUGAGGUUUCUCUAGUUGAUGAAAUAUCCAUCUACGGAUAGUUCCACCUCUAAAUAUGGCAUGGGUACCUAAAAAUUUAAGAUUUUUAUAAUUUCUCACCCUUUUUAUUUAUAUUUAAUUGAUUUAUGCAAAUCAAAUCACCAAAAUUCUUACAUGAUAUGAUCUUUUUGAAUUAAAAUGUGUCAUAACUUACAAAAUAAUAUAUAUAUAUAAACAACUUAUAAAAUAUAUAAGGCUUGUUUUGGCAAUACUAGCUCUUUUAGUAAGAAUUUAUUCGGCAAUAUUAGUUAUUUUAUAAGCUCUUUAAACUAGUAGUUGUUUAUAUAAUAAUUUAAAUUAAAAAUGCUCGAUAAAAAUAAUUGUUUUGUUUAAAAAAUUAGGAUUACAAUUAUUAAAAAAAUUAUCUGAAUACCACUUUCAUUCUGAAUAUAUAUAUAAAUAAACCACAAAAAUUAGUGUUUAUGGGAGAAUUAAUUACAAUUAUAGAUUUUUCAUUAUUUGUACAGAAAAACCUAACACAUCCAAAUCUUUCUUAAUCACUUUUGAUUUGCAAUAUCAUCAUCUUUUUCGUCUUCUUUUUCUAGUUUCACCUUCAUUGUCUUAUUGCUUCCUCGAUAGGUGCCACUCGAACUUUCUUUUACCUUAUUAGCUUAACUAUUUCUGCUUUAAUAAAAUUCAAAAUAAAAAAAAUUAAAUUCCAAAAAAUAUUAAAAAGUUCUAGAAGUAUAUAAUAAUUUUUUAAAAAUAUAUUCCAUUUCUUCAAACGAAUAAUAAACACUAUAAAAAGAAUAAAACCUAUUCGAGUUGGUGGGAUUUGAAUCCUAUAAAAGCAAACCACAUGCAUAAAUGUUGACACGAUAGCUCGCGGUAUAAACAUGAAAAGAAAAAAAAAUUCUGUAAAAAGAAUAAAAUAAUAAUAAUAAUAAUAAAUUAAAUUUAAAGCUAUGCUCAAAAGAGAGAUUAAUAAAUUUAGAAAAAUAUAUAUUUAUUGAAAAAAUAAAAAUAAAAAAGAAGAAUUAUCAAUAAGAAUAAAAUAAAAUAAAAGGCUAGUAGUAGAUAUCAUAUAAAUUUUUUCAAAUUAAUUGAAAAAUAGACUGAUAUAGUAUUAGGUCUAAUUUAAGUAGUCUUUAUACCCAUUUAGGCAAUAAAAAUAUAUAUGUUAAAUCAUUAAUAUCUUAUUGGUAUUUUUUUAAAUUCCAGUGGUAAAAAUCAAGUCUGAAAUUUCCUUAUUUACUCAUUAAAAAAUAAGAAAAAGUUCAAAUUUUCAUUCUAAAUUUCUUCAAUCAACGAAAGUCCUGAAAUGGAAUUCACUUUUUAAGUAAGGGAUUUUUUAAGAUUUUUCAUUUACUUUAUAUUAUUUAAUUUCAAAUAUUUAUAAAUUUUAGUAUUAAUUACAAAAGAUUUUCACAGACAUUGUAAUGUAGUUGGAAAUUUUGAUGUUUGAACGCUUUUGCCAAAUAGCGAUAUAAAUAUUUACUCCCUCUAUCUCAAAAAAUUUAUCAUGUUUACUCUUACACGAAGUUUAAGAAACAAAAUAAUUACAGUGUAACAUAUUCCUUUAUCUCAAAAUAUAAUUCGUUUAAGGUUUUUGUAUAAGAAUUAAGGAAGUAAUUAAUUCUUCUUGAUUAUAAUAAAAUUAAAAGUAAAUUGAUUAAAUAAUCGUUUAUAUUAAAACUAAUAGGUACUUGUGAAAGUUUUUGUUGUAUCUAAUGUAAACAACGGUAACAUUAGAAAAAUAUUAUUUAUUUACUCAUUGAAAUAUUCAAAAUGACUUAUAUUUUAAAAUAAAAUAAUUAUACAAAAACGACUUAUAUAUUGGGACAGAGGGAACAUAAAAUAUUUGUGCUUCCAAAAUUGUGAUUCUUUUAAACAAAAUGGUUAUUUCUAAAAAUUUGCACCAAAAUCAGUUAUAAAAAAAAAACAUAAAAGGAAAUAUCAAUAUCUCCUCGAUUAAUUGGACAAACAUUUUGAGACAUUUAAAAAUCAAAAUAUGGAUUAAAAUUUUUUGGUACGGAAUGAGCAUUAUAUUUUGUCAUUGUUGAUUAUAAAUUAAAUUAACAGAAAGGGAUGAUACGUUUAGAAAAAAAUUAUUUAUAAAAAUUGAAUUUUUAAGAAAACUGAUCAGAAGUCAUUAAAAAUUGUUUAAAGACUAAUAAUAUUUAACCUAUAAAAUAAUUUAGAUUUUCGUAUUUAUUUUUUUUUCUAAAAUUUUCAAUUGUUAAUAUAAGAAACAAAACCUUAAAAAUAAACAUUUUGAUGAAACAACAACUGUAACUCUUAUCUGUAAGAAGGGAAGCAAUAGAAAGAAAAUCUAGAGAAAAUCAGGUGCAAAUCAAUGAAAGUAAAUGCAUUCCCACUAACAAGGGAUAAGUUUUGGUGAAACGUCAGGUGUAUAUCAGAGGACACACACGCAACAACACGGAGCCCCUUCAAGCCCUCCCUCGCAGCACGUACACUUUCACUUUCACUUUCUUUGUCUUAAAUAAUCUCCUCUUCUCUCUCUCUCUCUCUCUCUCUCUCCAAACGGACAUAACUAUGGUUCAAUUGAAUUAACCUCAUCAAACCUCACCUCUUCUCUCCCUCUCUCCCUCUCUCUCCUUCCUCAUGCUUUCUUAUAUUUUUUUUGGCUAAUCUUGUUACUUUAAUCCCACCGCCCACUCCACACAGUCACCAAUAAUACUACUCUGUUCUGCAUCAUCCCUCAAGUUCCCAUUUCAAAAGAUAAUAUUUUGAUUAGUGGUUAUUUCUCUUAUUUUCCUCUUUCUUUGUCUUUCUCUCUUAAACUUGAAAUAUAAUUAAUUAAGGGGAAGGAAAGAAAAAGAAAAGAAAAUUAAAGGGUCUGUCGGUGUUGUUUGAUUGACCUUGAAUCUAUCUGGGAAAGAGGUAAAUUGUUGUUUGAUUUUUUUUUUUUUUUUAAAGUUCAGUUUGAACUCUUUUUGUUCUUGAAUUUUCUAUUUUUGUUAUAACUUUUUGCUAUUUUCUUCUUCUUUUUCUCUUUUUACGUUUACUGGAUCUCUCCGACUUGGAAUCUUUUGGGUCUGGAUUCUGGUUUCUCGUUUGGGUUUACUGUUAGAUGUGGGUUUUAGGAUUAGACCAAGAAUUUUUGUGUUCUUUUUUAGAUCCAAGCUACUUGACCUGUAUGUUAUUGCAUGAACAAUUUUUUUUCUAGGAAAGUUGAAAACUUUCCCGAGAGGUCCUUACCUUCUGUCAUAAACGGUGAGAUCUGGGUGUUUCACUUGAUUAUAUGUUGGAUGAUAAGAUUCAUUUGAUUUAUGAUCUAGUCUUGGGCUUUAAUAUCAAAAUUGGUUACUUUAAUCUGCUGCCAGUAAAUCUAUUUAUAUCUUUCAAUAGAAAAUAAUUCAAGAUUAAUUUUUUUUAUGAAUUGGGAAUAUAAAAUUUUCUGUUGUGGAAUUGAUGUUUCAUCAAAGUUUUUUAGUGGAAUUAAUUUGUCUCGAUCAAAAUUUGCUGAAAUGAUUGAUAUUUGAGAUUUUGUGCAUAAAUAUUCUGUAGCAAAUAAGAAAAUCUGAAAUGGAACUUCUAUUGAAUUGUUGAAUUAUGAUACACAGGAAAGCAUUUAGAUUUUUGCUGGGUUUUAGUAUGUAUUAACUUUUGCUGUUCUUAGCAGGCUUGAAAAUACCGACAGAGUAAGAUAGAUAGGGUUUAAAGCCAAACUAUGGUUCAAUUGAAUUAACCUCAUCAAACCUCACCUCUUCUCUCCCUCUCUCCCUCUCUCUCCUUCCUCAUGCUUUCUUAUAUUUUUUUUGGCUAAUCUUGUUACUUUAAUCCCACCGCCCACUCCACACAGUCACCAAUAAUACUACUCUGUUCUGCAUCAUCCCUCAAGUUCCCAUUUCAAAAGAUAAUAUUUUGAUUAGUGGUUAUUUCUCUUAUUUUCCUCUUUCUUUGUCUUUCUCUCUUAAACUUGAAAUAUAAUUAAUUAAGGGGAAGGAAAGAAAAAGAAAAGAAAAUUAAAGGGUCUGUCGGUGUUGUUUGAUUGACCUUGAAUCUAUCUGGGAAAGAGGUAAAUUGUUGGUUGAUUUUUUUUUUUUUUUAAAGUUCAGUUUGAACUCUUUUUGUUCUUGAAUUUUCUAUUUUUGUUAUAACUUUUUGCUAUUUUCUUCUUCUUUUUCUCUUUUUACGUUUACUGGAUCUCUCCGACUUGGAAUCUUUUGGGUCUGGAUUCUGGUUUCUCGUUUGGGUUUACUGUUAGAUGUGGGUUUUAGGAUUAGACCAAGAAUUUUUGUGUUCUUUUUUAGAUCCAAGCUACUUGACCUGUAUGUUAUUGCAUGAACAAUUUUUUUUCUAGGAAAGUUGAAAACUUUCCCGAGAGGUCCUUACCUUCUGUCAUAAACGGUGAGAUCUGGGUGUUUCACUUGAUUAUAUGUUGGAUGAUAAGAUUCAUUUGAUUUAUGAUCUAGUCUUGGGCUUUAAUAUCAAAAUUGGUUACUUUAAUCUGCUGCCAGUAAAUCUAUUUAUAUCUUUCAAUAGAAAAUAAUUCAAGAUUAAUUUUUUUUAUGAAUUGGGAAUAUAAAAUUUUCUGUUGUGGAAUUGAUGUUUCAUCAAAGUUUUUUAGUGGAAUUAAUUUGUCUCGAUCAAAAUUUGCUGAAAUGAUUGAUAUUUGAGAUUUUGUGCAUAAAUAUUCUGUAGCAAAUAAGAAAAUCUGAAAUGGAACUUCUAUUGAAUUGUUGAAUUAUGAUACACAGGAAAGCAUUUAGAUUUUUGCUGGGUUUUAGUAUGUAUUAACUUUUGCUGUUCUUAGCAGGCUUGAAAAUACCGACAGAGUAAGAUAGAUAGGGUUUAAAGCCAUUAGAGAUCCCUACAAAUUCAAGAUGAUGAUGUUCGAUGAGAUGGGAUUUUGUAGUGAUAUGGAUUUCUUCUCUGCGCCUUUUGGAGAAGAUGUGGCUGCUCCGCAAGCUGAGCCGGAGCCUACUGUGGAGGAUGAUUAUAGUGAUGAGGAGACUGAUGUUGAUGAGCUUGAGCGCAGGAUGUGGAGGGACAAGAUGCGUCUUAAAAGGCUGAAAGAGCAGAACAAGAGUAAAGAAGGUAUUGAUAUUGCUAAGCAGAGGCAGUCACAGGAACAAGCUAGGAGGAAGAAGAUGUCAAGGGCUCAAGAUGGGAUCUUAAAAUAUAUGUUGAAGAUGAUGGAAGUUUGUAAAGCUCAAGGCUUUGUUUAUGGGAUUAUUCCUGAGAAAGGAAAGCCAGUGACUGGGGCAUCAGAUAAUCUUCGAGAGUGGUGGAAGGAUAAAGUAAGGUUUGAUCGAAAUGGUCCGGCUGCCAUUGCCAAGUAUCAAGCGGAUAAUUCGAUCCCAGGCAAGAAUGAGGGUUGUAAUUCAAUUGGUCCAACUCCACAUACCUUGCAGGAGCUUCAAGAUACUACUUUGGGUUCGCUUUUGUCAGCUUUGAUGCAGCACUGUGAUCCUCCUCAGAGGCGGUUUCCAUUGGAGAAAGGUGUUCCUCCACCAUGGUGGCCCAAUGGAAAUGAAGAGUGGUGGCCUCAAUUAGGCUUACCUAAGGACCAGGGUCCUCCACCUUAUAAGAAGCCUCAUGACUUGAAAAAGGCAUGGAAGGUUGGGGUUCUUACUGCAGUGAUCAAACAUAUGUCUCCAGACAUUGCCAAAAUUCGCAAGCUUGUGAGACAGUCAAAGUGUUUACAGGACAAAAUGACAGCUAAGGAGAGUGCAACUUGGCUUGCAAUUAUUAACCAAGAGGAGGCAUUGGCCCGAGAGCUUUACCCUGAUUCAUGCCCACCCUUGUCAUCGACUGGAGGGAGUGGUUCAUUAGUGAUUCAUGAUUGCAGUGAAUAUGAUGUUGAAGGGGUUGAAAAUGAGCCGAACUUUGAUGUGCAAGAGUGCAAACCUGAGAAUCUGAAUUCCAAUUUGGGAAUGGAGAGAAUGAGGGAAAGGCUUCCACUUCGACAACCUUCUUAUCCGAUUAAGGGAGAGAUUGUCACUAAUGUUGAUUUUAUUAGGAAGAGAAAACCUCCCAGUGAUAUAGACAUGAUGGUGGAUCAGAAGAUAUAUACAUGUGAGUUUGUUCAAUGUCCUUACAGUCAACUCCGUCUUGGUUUUAAUGAUAGGGCUUCUAGGGACAAUCAUCAAUUAAAUUGCCCAUAUAGAUGCUCUCUGGACUUUGGAGGAUCAAAUUUUCACUGUAAUGAAGUGAAGCCUGUUAUCUUUCCUCAUCCAAAGCCAGCUCCUCUAAUGGUGAAUGCAGCUCCACCUACUUUCGAUCUAUCAGGAGUUCCGGAAGAUGGGCAAAAGAUGAUCAGUGAACUCAUGUCAAUCUAUGACACUAACAUCCAAGGAAACAAGAAUACAAAUGCUGGCAACAAUGGGGUCAAUGUCAAUGAAAGUCACAGUCUUUUCCAGCCAAAAAUUCACCAUCAUCAUCAACCGGACAACUACUUCCGAGGUCAAGCGAAUGUGAUAGAGGGAAAUAUUUUUGAAGAAUCCAAUAUUCAUAAUAACCAUCAAAUGUUUUCUCAGGAUAGUAAUCAAUUUGAAAGGUUUAAAGCUUUGAAUUCUCCAUUUGAGAGCAACCACCACCCCACCGCCGCCGCCACCAACAACAGCAGCUUUAAGUUCGGAUCUCCAUUCGAUUUAGCUUCCUUUGACUACAAAGAAGACUUGCAAGGCUUGGUAAUGGAUGCUCUGCCAAAACAGCAGGAUGUUUCAAUCUGGUUCCAGUGAAGAAAUAAACACACAGAUUUCGAAUCACUCUCCAUAUGAGAGAUGAACUAUCUUUUAUCUUGUUUAGGCUCUGCAAAAUCCAGUGAAAGCUUCACUGGCUUUUAAGAACUGUUUUAUCAUUUAAAUGUAUUUCCCUUAUCUUUGUAGUUCUAGAAGAUUUAGAUAGCUAUAAGCAAUGGCAAGCAAUGGGCUAAUAAAGAAGUUAGCAAAGUCCCAAAAAUCGCCUCUUGCCGUUGAUUACUAUAAUUAUAUACACAAUAUAAGACUGUGAAAUAAAUAAGUAAUUAGUGUUUUGCUGUAUUUUAUUGUUGUGGGUUUCAUCAGUUCAGCCCUUGUGGUCAGGAAUCUGAUGGCAAGUGUUUGUUUAAGUUGUCUUGUAAUGGAAAGGGUUUGUCAUUUUAUGGAUCUUGUUGGUCUGCCCAUGUGAAUUCUGAGACACACAACAGAGCAGUUAGGUUUGAAGAUGCCAAGUUGACUAGCACUUGUUUGUGUGAUGGCAUGUUUCGCAUUGUGGAUCAUUAUUACUUUUUUUUUUUCUUCCAAAAAUAGAUAUCUUUUUAUAGAAAAAAAAAUGGAAAUAAAAGGUUUCAAACUAAUUUUCCUUUCAUUUCUUGUUUUAUUUUUAAUUUAAUAAUUUAUUAUAAUAAUUUAUUAAAUAAAUUGCUUGUUUUAUUUUUAAUUUAAUAUAUUCAGAUGGAUUCAAAUUAAUUAUAAAUAAUGUAUAAAGAGUAAAUAUGAAAAAAAAAAAAAUUAAUACUUUUGAAACAACAAUGUCGCUAUUUUUGAAAGAAAAGCAGUGAUAGGAGGGUGGUGGCGGUGUAGGGUUUUUAUUUUUAUAAUUGAAGAGAGGAGAUGCGAUAGGGUGGCGGCGGAGGAAGCGGUGGUGGGGAGGUUGUGUUCAAAGGUUCAAGAGGGGCGGCUGGGUUUGGAAGCUUUUGGGGAUUUUUUUCAAGCUUUGAUGGCAAUGUUUGGCCAGUUGUCAACAUACUUUGGCGUGUUAGACUAAAAAAAAGUUCGGAACUUAUCACUUCACUAUGUGUGGGUCCCAUUUUUUUCCUUUUUUUUUUUUUUUAAAUAAUACAAUAAUCGGUUGAAAGUUGAAACUAGACGUCGCUUUUACAGGAUGGAUUUUAGUGUUGACAACUUUUGCGUGUUCUCUAUUGUUAUAGCCGUUCGAUCAGCAUAUGUGAUUUGUGAUUGUGAACAUCUCCGCAUAAAAAUAAAUUUUUUUUCUGAAAUAAUAGAAUUAUAUAUAUAUAUAUAUAUAUAUAUAUAUAAAAGAAAUAGGCAUGAAAAAAAAAUUAAUACUUUUGAAACAACAAUGUCGCUAUUUUUGAAAGAAAAGCAGUGAUAGGAGGGUGGUGGCGGUGUAGGGUUUUUAUUUUUAUAAUUGAAGAGAGGAGAUGCGAUAGGGUGGCGGCGGAGGAAGCGGUGGUGGGGAGGUUGUGUUCAAAGGUUCAAGAGGGGCGGCUGGGUUUGGAAGCUUUUGGGGAUUUUUUUCAAGCUUUGAUGGCAAUGUUUGGCCAGUUGUCAACAUACUUUGGCGUGUUAGACUAAAAAAAAGUUCGGAACUUAUCACUUCACUAUGUGUGGGUCCCAUUUUUUUCCUUUUUUUUUUUUUUUAAAUAAUACAAUAAUCGGUUGAAAGUUGAAACUAGACGUCGCUUUUACAGGAUGGAUUUUAGUGUUGACAACUUUUGCGUGUUCUCUAUUGUUAUAGCCGUUCGAUCAGCAUAUGUGAUUUGUGAUUGUGAACAUCUCCGCAUAAAAAUAAAUUUUUUUUCUGAAAUAAUAGAAUUAUAUAUAUAUAUAUAUAUAUAUAUAUAUAUAAGAAUUAGGCAUGUUCGUGGUCGUUGCGAACGAAUUUUUUAAUAUUUAUAUCUGCUAACUAAAAAAAUAUCUAUUUUACUAUUCGUGAUGUAUUAAGGUAAAUCACGUUGGAGUGAUGUAUUAAGGUAAAUCAUGUUGGAAGACGAAUUAAGUCGGAUUAAAAAAUAAAAAUAAAAUAGCUUUUUUUUUUUAAAAAAAAAACAUGAAUAAAAGUAUAUUCAUGUAGAAUUUGUAUGAUUAAAUUUACACGUGUUCUUUUGAAAUUGAAAUUAAUAUAUACAUUCUUAUGAUUAAAAUGAACAUCCUUAAAAAAUAUUAAAUGAAUGACGAUAUUUUUUAAUUAAAAUAUUAAAUUAAAUUAAAGUAAGGUGUUUUUUUUAUGAAUUUUCUGAUUUUUAAUGUAAAUGGUAAAAAAAUAUUUACCUUUCGAUUUAAUUUCAUCAUUAAAUCCUCAAGCAAGAUGAAAAGUAAACAGCACGUGAGAAGUCUAAAUUUUAUUUAUUUAUUAUAAAAUAUUUGAACCAUAUCCAAAGCAAGUACUCCAAUUAUUUGAGGUCUAUUGGCAGUCAUAAGUUAUUGAUUUUCUUUUUUUUUUUUUUUUUUAUAAUAUUUUCCUUAGGAAAUUAAAAUAACCACACAGUAUGAAACUUUAGUUUGUCUCAUCUCCUUUGUUUUUUAGCGGCAGCCGUGUAGCUUACGGCAUGUUUGGCAUUGUUUGCUUUUCUUAGAAAAUGAGUUCAUAACAUCUGACUUCGUAUGAAAAAUAUAUUAAGCUUAAGGAUGACAAUGGAUCGGAUUAUGGAAAAAUUACUCUUAUUUAAAUUAAAAUAACGUAUAAUUCAUUUUCAAAUCUACGCAAAUAAAUAGGUGCUUUGCAAUAAAUAAAAUUUUAAUUUUUUAAUAUAUAACGUGGUAAGAUAAUCAAAUCAUUUACUUGAUAAAAUCUCAAUUGAAAUUUAUUUUUAAACAAAGCAGAUCAUCUCUGACCAUAAACUAAAAUUCGAUGAUUAUUGAUGAAUAAACUCAAGCAAUUUUUGGACGAACUCGAAAGUUCUUAAAUAGCAUGAAACAAAAAUAAUUAAUAUAUCUAUACCAUAAACAUAAUUAUUUCUUUUAUAUUUUAUAAAGUUUUUUAUGAAAUACAAAAGGUAAAAUAAAUUCUUAAUAUAUAAAAUAAUUAUGAAUAUAUAAUAUUGAGUUAAAAUGUUGCUAUUAGAUAUAAAAAAGUAUAUUAAAAUUUAUAAUUUAAUUAAUUAAAUAAGCUCGUGAACAAGUUUGAGUUCGUUGUGAAAAUUAACAAAUCGUGGUUGAAAUAAAUUUUGAGCUUCAUAUUAAACUAAAACUCAACUUGAGCUCGAAUUACAUAUUAUCAAAUAAUGUUAUACUCAACUCAUUUAUAAUCGUAUAUACGCAUCGUGUAUUGUAGUACAUAUAUUAAUUCAACUCUAAUUGGGGAUUUAAAAACUAAAAAUUUUAGUUGGACAAACAUCGAAAAAAAGGAGUAUUUAUUAAACGUUGUUGUCACUUAGGUUUAACCAUAUACAUACAAAGCAACUUAAAUUCAAAUAAAACAAAUUCCAUAAAACAAAAUAAUUAAUUUUGUCUCUUUAUUUUCUUUUUAUUAUUUGAAAAUUUCAAUGCUAAUUACAAUAAUAAUUUUCUACUUUCAAUUCUUCAAAUGCAAACGCCUAGUGAUUGCUUCACCGGUUUGACAAAUGCAAUCAAAUUCUUGAAUCAUUUGUGCAAGAUUUGGUGGAAUGGUUCCACCUCCCAUUCUAUUAUCUCUACAAUUUACCACAUUAAUCUUAGCACUUGUUAGGGAAAGAUCUAUGUUUGAAAAUUUCUUAGUGAUCACACAUGUUUUCGAUACUUGCAUGGCAUUAACCGCAAUAGCAAAAUAUAUUGAACAAGAUGAAUAUCGGGCUUUCAAGACGUGAUCUUUCGUCGAUUGAUCGAGCGAUGUAGUUAUGGCAAUAAUCUCUUGAAGCUUAGUAUUCGCCGUGUCGAUUACCAUUUGCGCUAAACCGUAUAGAUCCAUUGUUUUCGUCUCGGGAUGUGAUGAUAGAAGAUUUAUGCAAAAUUGAGCGUUAUGCUCGACUUUCGAGCAUAUCUCCAUAAUUUUCUCAUCGGUGACGACAACAUGAGCCGCAGAGGAAUUAGCAAUGGUUAGAACUAGUAGGGAAAUACAAAGUAUAGUAGAAGCAAAGCCAUGGGAGGAUAAUGCCAUUUCUUUAAUUAGGUUUUCUUUGCAUUGGAGUUUAAGGAUUUAGGGUCUUAUAUAGUAGUUAUAAGGUUGGUAAUACUUGAUCAAGCUUUUACCACGCUAAUUGCCUAAAUAUGAAAACUUAUUUAUAGUCAUGACUAUAAAUACUUUUUUUCCAUUAUUUGUGGCUUGAAACUAGAAAUUAAUAGCUACAAAUCAACUCAAGCUAAUAUUAAUAAACUAUAAGUCCGCAUGACUUUUAGAGAAGCUAAAUUCUUAAACCCAUUAGCUCGAGAAAUUUUUAGUUAGACUUAGUCUACGACGUCAGCUAUAGACCAUCUAAUGAAAUAUAGUCAUAUCAAUAAUUUUUUUUAGCUUAUCUCUGUUAGUUCAUUCACGUUUCGGCUUUUAUAACUCUUAAGGAAACUAAACUAUCAUAAUACAAAAUUGCCUAAUAUAUCAUACUAUUCCGAGCUUUUCGGCUUCUAUAACUCUUAAGGAAACUAAACUCUUAAACCUAUUAUUAAUUAGCAAUAUUUAAAACUAUCAUAACACAAAUAGUGCAAUGUAUCAUAAUAUCCCAAACCUUUCAAGCUUUUGUAACUUUUAAGAAAACUAAACUUUAAAUUUAUUAGCACCACCAACUUAGCAAAUAGCAACGUUUAAAACUAAUUAGCAAUAUUUAAAACUAUCAUAAUACAAAAUGACCUAAUAUAUCAUAAUAUCCCAAACUUUCAGCUUUCGUAACUUUUAAGGAAAUUAAAGUACUCUUAAGCCUAUUAACACCACCAACUUUACAAGUAGCAACAUUUAAAAUUAAUUAGCGAUAUUUAAAAUUGCAAUCGCAUAAAACGACAUAUUUUAUCAUAAUAUUCCGAACUCCGACAAAAAAACUAAACUCUUAAACCUAUUAUCAUCACCAACUUAACAAAUACCAACAUCGAAAACUAAUUAUACAUUAUAAAUUGGUACAUCCCUAUAGGACACCCAAAUUAUAAAUUGGUACUAGAGUAAAAACCCUAAAGUUUUUAAUUAUUCUUUUGUUGAUUGUUUAUUUUACCUUAUGUAGGUCACGAUAUAAAUUGCUAUCUUGUGAAUAAAAGAUUGUAAAUAAUAAUUAUCAAAUCAACCACCACUUUACAAUAUGGAGAGGCAAUUAUAAAUUCAAAUGACAUUGUUCGUCGUAUGUACCAUUAGACCGACACAUUUUUUCUUUAAUUUUUUUUUUAUUAUUUUUCCUUUUCUUUAAUGUAUAAAAACAAGCAUUGCAGACCACCAAGAACAUGCCAAGAUAGACACCUUGCACUAAAAACAAAAUCCCCACUUAUUGAAAUGAAAUUAGAUUAUAUCUUCUAAAUGAAAUUUAUCUCCAAACAGAACAUUUUAAAUUUUAUGCUCGUGGUUAUUGAAAGAACUUUAUUAUCUUAAUACGUUAUCCCGAAUAUAAAAAAAAAUUAUAUAUUUUUAAAGAAUUUUAUGAACAAGGUGAAUAUAUAAACACAAGAUGAUUAUCAAAUAUAAUAAACUAAAAUAGAGAGAUCCUUUAUGGUAGGGACUCCAAAAUUAUUUUUUUAAAAGGAAAUUAGCAAAAGAAGAGAAAUACAUGAACAAAGCAGUUAGAACAGGUAUGACAGGUCAUAAAGCUAACCCUAUGUUUCAAGAAAUUGAAACAAAUCUUUCCAUUGACCUUAAUUAAAUUAAAAGCUUUUAGUUUCAUUUUUUAGGCAUUAGUCUAUGUACUUGAGGCUACACUUCUGGCAUAAGAAUAUGCAAAAUGACAGCUACAAGUCUUAUUAAUAAUUUUUUAAUUAGCUGAGUUUUUUUAGCCAAUAAAUCAAUUUUUAAUUCUAAUUCAUAGCAUAAAUAUUGAAUAUAUAUAUAUAUAUAUAUAUAUAUAUAUAUAUAUAUAUAUAUGCUGCCNNNNNNNNNNNNNNNNNNNNNNNNNNNNNNNNNNNNNNNNNNNNNNNNNNNNNNNNNNNNNNNNNNNNNNNNNNNNNNNNNNNNNNNNNNNNNNNNNNNNNNNNNNNNNNNNNNNNNNNNNNNNNNNNNNNNNNNNNNNNNNNNNNNNNNNNNNNNNNNNNNNNNNNNNNNNNNNNNNNNNNNNNNNNNNNNNNNNNNNNNNNNNNNNNNNNNNNNNNNNNNNNNNNNNNNNNNNNNNNNNNNNNNNNNNNNNNNNNNNNNNNNNNNNNNNNNNNNNNNNNNNNNNNNNNNNNNNNNNNNNNNNNNNNNNNNNNNNNNNNNNNNNNNNNNNNNNNNNNNNNNNNNNNNNNNNNNNNNNNNNNNNNNNNNNNNNNNNNNNNNNNNNNNNNNNNNNNNNNNNNNNNNNNNNNNNNNNNNNNNNNNNNNNNNNNNNNNNNNNNNNNNNNNNNNNNNNNNNNNNNNNNNNNNNNNNNNNNNNNNNNNNNNNNNNNNNNNNNNNNNNNNNNNNNNNNNNNNNNNNNNNUAUAUAUAUAUAUAUUAAAAUAUAGAUGGUCAUCCUCAAAAUGCCUAUCAAUUAUUAUAUUUGAUUGACUUUUCAUGAUCUCGAAAACAUUUGGUGACAUGAACCCUUUCAUUUUAUUUUAUGACAAAGUUUCUUUAUCUAGUUGACUGCCCAUGAAUUUUCUAGGGACAAAACAAUUAUUCAAGAGUCGACCGAAAAAAUAUAAUCAUUAAAAUUUAUUUAAUAAGCUUGAUGAGCUAAUUUCAAAUUUGUUUAUUAAGUUUAUUUAAUAAAUGAAUCAAUCUCGACUUAUAGUUUGAGGCUUUUUUAUAAUUUUUUUUAAAUUAUAAGCUAGCGAAACUCAUUUAUGUUGAGUAUACGUAAACGAGUAUUAAUAAGUUUCAACUAAUUUUAUUUGUUUAAUACUUUUUUAAAAUAAUAUUAUAUGAUUUGUUUCAUAUAAGAACAAAUAAUUAUUAAAUAAAUUAUUAUUAUUUUCAUUUUUUAAAUAACUAAAUAAUUUAUUAUAAUUAAUUAAUUUUCUUUUAUUUUUCAUAGUUAAAUCUAAAACCCUAUUCUAGGAACAAUUCCGAAAAGAUGGGUCAAAUUUAUGCGUAACAAAAAUAAACAGAUUGGGCUUUGUCAACUUUAUGGGCCUUCUGUUCUAUGGACACACUUAUAUUAUAUAUUCAGAAGAUGAGCCUAAUAUUUGUGUACAAAAUGGGCUGGACUUUGAUAAGAUAGAGGGUCUUUUGUCCAAUAAGUACUCUCUAAAUCCUACUUGGGAGGUGUUUGCUAUAACAUUAAUGCUAAGUAAAACUUGUGACUUAGAGAGUUGAUACACGUAGCCUAUUAUUGCUUUUAUCAAAAGGUUAUUUCCGCAGCUCAAAUCUAUUUUUUCAAUAUUAUAAAUUUAACUAUAAACUCGCAGAAUAAAUGAAUAUAUAUUAACCUUUAAAAGUAUAUUCGCUUAUUAUAAAUUUAUAAAAUUUCAAUAUGUCAGUAAUUCAAUCGGAUUCGAGCAGAAUUUAGUUAAUUUAAGAGGCUAAAAAUACUUGUCUAGCUAAUGAAAAAAACAAAAAAGAAAAGAAAAAGUUAUCAACCUUCGGAUUUAAAAACUAAAUUUGUCCAAUAAAAAUAUAUUGAUAAUAUAAAAUAUAAUCCAAUCCUUAUUUUUAUGUAAAAAUAUUCUUAUAGGAGCUAAUCUCUAAAAUUUAUCUCUUGAAAAUUUAAACACAUAAUAGAUAGUUUGACAAAUAAUAAAUAUAUGGAUCAUUAAAUGACUUGCGUAUUGGGAUCAGUAAGAUGUGGUAGAAAGUUUGUAAAAGACAAGGAGAAGAAAAACAGGUAAUUACCAGUCAAAUCCCCAGCUAACUCAAAAUCAAUAUUUAUAUAUCCUUAGCAUUUAACACUUACCCACAAGUGAAUCUGUCCUUUUCUUGUAGAGUUAUUGCACAUUGCAAUUUGGCAUAACAAUAAUAGUGUAACAAGCUAACAGCACUCACCUACUCCUACUGCUGCUAGUGCUGCUGCUGCUCACUCUCUUUCUGAUAUGACUGUACUUUCUCUCUGAAUCUCACUGGUUUUUGCAUUCUUUGUUAUGUUUGUUUUGUCUCUGCUUCUUCAAGAAGUUCACUUUCUUUCUUGUUCUUGAGUACGCACUUCCAUUUCAUUAUCUUCUUUUACUUCCAAAAGCUUUAGUUCCGCUCAUUUCAAGAAAUGCUUGAAAUGAUAGGUAUUUGUGGAAAGUUAUUCUUUUGCUAACCAUUUGUGUUUCCUUUACGUUCUUGUUCUCUAGGCUGCUUAACUGAAAAAAGAAAUGUAGAUUCUUGUGCUUGUUUCAUUUCUUUACUUCUUGCUGAUUUGCUUAGCUGCUUUUGUUAUUUAUGUUAGCUAUUGGGUUUCUAUUUUUCUUCUUUUUGUGACGUACUUUUUGUUGCAGUGAAUCUAUUAUUUCCAUUUAUGAGAAAAUGGAUUUAUGAAUUUAGCAGUUCUUGAGCUGUGAAGUUCAAUUUUAGUAUGUUUUAUUUUUUAUAGUCUUUGGUUCAAUUUAGUCUUCCACUACUCCUUACUUUUUGACCAAUGCAUUUGAGUUUUCCUGUAGAUUCGCGUAGGCUGUGAUUAUAUUGUUGAUUUGUUACUUGUAUAGUACUUCCUUCUUGCAAAUUGGGUCGAUUUCUUUUCCCCUCUCAAACUGGUUCUUUUAAUCCGGUUUGGUGUAUUCCCAUUAUCUCUCUCGUUGAAAUUUGUGAUUUUGGACCCUUGUUGAAGCAAUGCAGAUAACCAGUUUGAUGUUGUUCUUAUUAGUAGUGAAUGCUUUUGGACAAUCAGAUUUUGAAGCACUGUUGGAACUCAAAAAGGGUAUUGAGAAAGACCCAUCUGGGGAAGUUCUUGUUUCAUGGGAUUCUAAGUCUCUGGCAUCUGAUGGUUGUCCACUGAACUGGUAUGGAGUUGUCUGCAUUGAUGGUCACGUAGCUUCCCUUACUCUGAAUGACAUAGGCCUUGUUGGCAAUUUUAGUUUCCCAGUUCUUACUGGUCUUAAAAUGCUUAGAAACUUAUCAAUUUCGAAUAACCAAUUUGUGGGAACUGUUUCAAAUGUUGGUUCUAUCGAGUCCCUAGAGUAUUUUGAUAUUUCUCGCAAUUUGUUUCAUGGGUUCUUACCCUUUGGCAUAGUCAAGUUAAAGAAUUUAGUGCUUUUGAAUCUUUCUUCAAAUAAUUUUCAAGGCAUGAUUCUUUCUGGUUUUGGCAGUCUUGAGAUGUUGAAAUAUUUAGAUUUGAGAAGUAAUAGCUUUUCUGGUGAUAUAAUGGAUCUUCUUUCCAAGUUGGGCAAUGUGCUUCAUGUCGACCUAAGCAGCAAUCAGUUCUCUGGUUCUUUGGAUUUGGGACUUGGGAAUAGCCGUUUUAUUUCGUCAAUUGUAUAUUUGAAUAUAAGUCAUAAUUCUGUGGUUGGAAAGCUCUUUGCUCAUGAUGGAAUGCCAUAUUUUGACAGUUUAGAGGUCUUUGAUGCCAGUAAUAACCAGAUAGCUGGUGAAAUACCUCCAUUUCAAUUUGUUGUCUCUCUUCGGAUUCUUAGGCUUGGAAAUAACCAGUUAACAGGAUCUCUUCCUGAAGCUCUUUUACAAGAUAAAUCAAUGGUAUUGUCUGAACUGGAUCUUAGCCUUAAUCGACUUGAAGGUACCUGAUUCCAACAGUUCACCGUUUCCCUCUCUUUUCCCUUUCCUUUUUUCUUUCUAUUUUCUCAUAGUUCUGGUGAAUUUAUGUAAAAUGAUUUUUUGUUUUUUUCAUGCUAGUUAUUCCUGCAUUAAACUUGCAUUUGAGAUUAACAUUAACAUUUGAAACUAUUAUUCAAUUAAGAGUUGCGAUAAGAAACAUAUGCAGCUCUACUCUUGCAAAUUUGUAUCCGGUAUAAAAACUGAUUGAAAGGCAAAAAUAGCUUUACCUAUCAAUUUAAAGUGAAAAAUGCUCACCUUUAUAGCAUAUCUUUGCUAAAGCUAUUUAAGAGUUUACUCUAUCAUUGAUUAGAGUUUGUUCAGUUUACUCUUUGGAGUUUUGCUUGAUUCUAUAAUAUGCUAGGUUGCAUCAACCAUUGUUAAUAUUUUAGGCUCUAGAUAUAGAAUAACAUCCUGUCAUUUUUCCUCAAAUAUAAUUUUAGCAACUUUGGCAUGUGAGCAGGAAAAACGUAGCCUUCUACAGUUUAUGUUUGAACGUGGAAGUAAAUAUAAAAGCCCACCACAUAGUGAAACAGCAAUCAUAUCAAAGAAAGUGUAUUGCAAUGUCAGUUUCCUGAAAAUCAUUAUCAUAUAAAUACAUAUCAUCGCAGUUAGAAAAUUCGAACUGAUUCAGGAUGUGAAGAGAUCUCUAUCAUCACAGUUUUUGCAGGUUUUCCAUGUUGGUUGAUGUAGUCAUUAUCUCUCAAAAGUUGCAUCUGCUUUGAAUUUCAGUUUCUCAACAUGCCAUUAUAUCUAUGCAUAUAAAAUUUUAAAGGAUUAACAUGUUUUGCAGGUCCACUUCGAAGUAUCACUUCUGGAACUCUGAAGAAUUUAAAUUUGUCUUCAAAUAAACUGUCAGGUUUCUUACCUGCCACUGUAGGAUAUUGUGCUGUUAUAGAUCUGAGUAAUAAUCUGUUUUCUGGGGUUUUGUCAAGAAUGCAGAACUGGGGAAAUUAUGUCGAAGUUAUCCAGUUGAGUAACAAUUCAUUGACAGGAAGUUUGCCUAACCAAACUUCUCAAUUCCUGAGGUUGAUUUCUCUCAAGAUAUCAAGGAACUCAUUGAAUGGUGAACUUCCAUUAGUGUUGGGUACAUACUCACAACUGAAAGUUGUUGAUCUUAGCCUUAAUAAUCUUAGUGGGUUCCUUCCUCCAAGCCUCUUCAACUCAUCAACAUUGACUGAUCUCAUCCUGUCAGCCAACAAUUUCACUGGGCCAAUCCCACUUCAGGAAAUACAAGUUUCCACCCAGAACCUUAACUUGCAGUCUCUCGAUUUGUCAUAUAAUUCCUUAGAUGGAAAUGUGCCCCUUCAAAUCAGCAAGUUCCACAACUUGGUGAUUCUUAACUUAUCCAACAAUAAACUCAAAGGCACCAUCCCAGGGGACCUUCCAGAUGGAUUGAAAGAAUUUAAUGUGUCUUCUAACAAUCUCUCUGGUGUGAUCCCUGAUAACUUAAGGCGGUUUCCUGAUUCAGCUUUCCAUCCUGGAAAUUCCCUGUUGAUUUUUCCUAAUUUGCCACUGUCGCCUGGGGGUGCUCCAGAGCUGUCUUCGAGGGAUCAUAGAUCUCAAAUGAAACCUGCUAUUAAAAUUUCUCUUAUAGUUGGUAUCGUUGGCAUUGCUGCUCUAAUAGCUAUUUCAUGCAUAAUGAUUCACUACAGGAAUCAUAGGCAGAAUAAAAAUCUUAGAAGUUUGAAAGGAGAUGAGGGAAAUGAAGCAGUUACACAAGAGCAUUCUUCCAUUUCUCAUACCCUAGCAAGUAACAAAAAUUUGGACCAAUCAUUAUCAUCAUCUAGUAUCCAUCAAAGUCUUCAUCCGUCAUCACAUGUAGGGUCAGCAUAUCAACCUGGGGACACAUCAUCAGCUAUAUGGAAGCCUAAUGAUCCGGAAUCAAUAAGGAAAUAUGAAGGAUUAUCUUCUCCCUUGUCUGUUUUGUCAUCUUCAAAUCCAUCACCCUCUAAAAGCCAGCUUUCAUCUGAAUAUCCUGGUGGUCUUCAGGUAUAUUCUCCAGAAAGAUUGGCUGGGGAUUUACAUUUGUUUGAUGGCUCCCUAGUGUUCACAGCACAAGAACUUUCACGUGCUCCAGCAGAAGUUAUUGGGAGGAGUUGCCAUGGUAGUUUAUAUAAGGCAACACUUGACUCUGGUAAUGUGUUGGCUGUAAAAUGGUUAAAAGAGGGAAUAGCCAAAGGGAAAAAGGAAUUCUCAAGGGAAGUAAAAAAACUUGGGAACAUCAGACAUCCAAAUUUAGUUUCUCUUCAAGGUUACUUCUGGGGCCCAAAGGACCAUGAGAAGAUGAUAAUAUCUAAAUAUAUAAAUGCACAAUGUAUAGCCUUCUAUUUUCAAGGUAAGAUACCAUUUCUGAAAUGUGAAUUUAUGAUAUUUUCUUAUUCUGGAUCAAAUUUGUGUUUUAAAUUGUGCAUUUACUUGGACGGUUUGCACUAGUAUCCAAUUAAUUUCCACACUGAAUAUUUUAUGUUUAGAGUGAUAUGCAAUUUAUCCCUAUCAGACAAAUCUAUCUAUGUUCCAUGCACGUAUUAAUCAUUUCAUAUCUAGAAAAGUGGAAAAGGAUCUACUUACACUAGUGAAAAAUCAAUAAGCCUUUUAGACAAAUAAUCUGAUAUGAUUCAUUAUUUCAUUUGUAAUGCAAGAAUUUUGCUUGUAAUUAGAUUCAGAAAAAAAUUUGGUUUCAGAAAAUUCUUUGGAUGACAAACUUUAAAUGGUACGAUCUAUAUAAUAGAUUGUCACUUUGACUGCAUAUGAUUAUUCCUCACCCAUCCUGUUUUUCCUUGCCCAUCUUUUGAUUCUGGAAUGUUUCAUCACAAUUACUCCACUUGACUUUUUGUAAUCUGAUAUUUUGGCGUAAGAGAGGGGGAAGCUGGGAUUUAAACCCUCAACUACUUGAGGCAGGUGCUUGACCACCGGACUACUGGCGUAAUGGUUUUUCUGCGAUUUUUGUAUGCAUUUUUUAAGUCAUCUUUUUUUUUUUUUUUUAGUUCUUGAAACGAGUAACAGCGUUCUUUAGCUUUCUUAAUUGGGAUUUUUUAAGAUAUUGGAGUGCCAUAGAGGAAGAGAAACAGAAUUGGCAGGAGAGAGAUUAUUUUCCAUCAAAUAUUAUUUGCCUAUUUGUUCUAUAGGUUGUUCAGCUUUAUGGUCAAUAUAUGCCUCAUGGCUUCUAGUUGUGACUGAAUUUUAAUCCUAUAUCCUCUUUGCCAGAAGAGAAUCUAUAUUUCAUAGGGAUAUUGUGUUGUCCUUUUCUUCCUAUUUCAUGCAUUUUUCAUUUUAAAAAGGAAUUCACUUUUGCAGAUACAGAGCCAAGGAAACUCCCACCUUUAUCUCUCGAUAAUCGGCUCAACAUUGCUGUUAAUGUUGGUCGAUGUCUGAACUACAUGCACAAUGAGAGAGCAAUACCCCAUGGAAAUCUCAAAUCCACAAACAUUUUAUUAGAACCUCCAAACAUGAAUCCAUUGCUUACAGAUUACAGUCUCCACCGCAUACUGACAUCAGCUGGCACAGCAGAACAAGUUUUAAAUGCAGGUGCUCUUGGUUACCGACCCCCCGAAUUUGCUAGCUCCAGUAAACCCUGCCCAUCAUUAAAGAGCGAUGUCUAUGCAUUUGGGGUUAUUCUGUUGGAGCUCCUAACCGGAAAAUGUUCAGGAGAAAUUGUUUCUGCAAACCCAGGAGGAGUUGAUCUGACAGAAUGGGUAAGGUUAAUGGCUGAAGAAAACCAUUCAGACAAGUGCUUUGAUAAACUGCUUGUAGAUGGACCAAAUGUAGAGGCACCCAGGAUUCUUGGAGAAAUGCUGCAAGUGGCUUUAAAAUGUAUCCUACCAGCAGCUGAGAGGCCUGACAUAAAAUCAGUUUUUGAAGAUUUGUCUAUGAUAGUUUUAUAAAAGGCCUCUCUUCAAGACAUUCUAACUGCAGCCUCUGUCACUAACCCCUUUUUCUUCUCCAUUUAUUUAUUGAAGCUUCUAAUUUGUUUCUUUACAAUGUUAAUGUUUUGAAUCUGCUCUUGGUCCUGUGAAUAAUGCCAUUGGAUAGGGUAUUGUUAGCUAGUGGGAAGGAAAUAAAUUUUCCUUUUUUUCUUUUUUAGAUUGUUGGGUUAAUUCAUUCUUUUUAGCCCUUUCCUGUAAUGUAAUCUCCAUUGAUGAUACUUUUACCAUUCAGAAAGAAUAUUCAUUGAGGCCUAUAUUUAAGAUUACAUUUGUUUAUUAUAGUUUCGAGAUUGCUAUGCUAAAUAGAUAGCAUAUAAAAUCAAUCAGCAAACAUAUAAAUAAUAUUAAAUAGAAAAUCUAAAACAUAAAUCUUUUUAUAUAGAAAAUUUUCAAUUUUUUUCCAAGUUACAGUACUUCAAGAAUUUAUAAUGUUUAGUUUUGCCUUUUUCUUCUUAAUGGUUAGUCUCCAAAAACCUAUAAAUCCAACUGCUGCUCAAAAAUGGAAUUUGACCGGCCAGCGAUUAUGGGUACUGCAAUUAUUCCAGCAAACCUCCAAUUGUACCAAUACAACAGAUUAGAAAUAAUUGUUUAUAUUAAUCGAUUCCAACGAGUGGAUUCUCUGACUGUAAAUUCAUUCCAUACCGGAACACACGCUUAACAUUUUCAUUAUUGAAAAAUGAAAGGUAGAGGCAAAUUGGUAAAAAUUAGAAUACAUAAAUUGAAAAUAUAUAAUACAAAUUUACUUGAAUUUGGAUCAACAAUACUAGAAUGUUAAUACUAACAGAUUAGAGUUAAUGUAAAAAGUAUGAAAAUGAAAAUGAAAUUGAAACUUUGUCGGUUGCGUUUGCCGAGAAAGGAUAACGCCAACUGCUUUGACUUCUGUACGCGGUACAAGGAAUUCCGAACCUGACCCCUCCAUUUUUUGUUUUUUAGCAUUUAAUCAAAAUUUGAUUAAUGAAAAUUUAGGUAAUUACAAUGACGAUAAUGCCCUUUUUAUAAAACAUGUGUAUUAAAAAAGUAAAAAAUUUUUAUAACAUGAAAUGGAAAUUUAAUUAUUAAAAUUAUUGAUAAUGUUUGAUAUUUUUAUUUUUUAACUCACAUAAAUAAAUUAAAUAAUUAUUUAUUUACAUGUGUUAAAAAUUAGGUAUCAAUUUUAAAUUUUUAUAUUACAAGAUAAUUGAAUUCACUUCGGUCAAGUGUAUUGAGAAAAUUUUUUAGAAAUAAAAUUUUCUGUGAAAUUAAGGUUCAAAACUAUUAUUUAUUUGAAUUUUAAGUUUUUUUUAAUUAUUUAUUUAUGUUGAUUUGUUUGUUUAAAGUUUUACUUUCUUAUAUUAUUUUCUGAUUUUGCUAGCUAAUGCAUUUACUUUAACUUUCCUUUUAAAAAAAAAUCAAAAUUUAAAUUCAUGAGAUUGACUACCAAAUUUACAAUUAAUAUAUAAAAAAAGCUGGCUAAUUAGAUUUGGUCUGGUUAGUCUUUUCAAUUAAGUUUAAUAUGGUUCGAGUCCACUCAACUAUUAAAGUUUUAAAAAAUUUUGUGAAUUAAGCAGAGAACUACUCGUGUUGUACAGUGUUAUUUCCUGUCAUCUAGCCUCCUGACGAAUCAAAAAGGCUAAUUUGGUCAAUUUAUAGAAAAUAGUGUGCUCUCGUCAAGAAUCAAACAACUCUUGAGUGUCUAGGUACCAAACAUUCAGUAAAAUACAAACAUAGGCCUCCAAAUUCAUUCAUUUCAUUUGACUGUUUCCACUUCUCAAGGCAGUAUAUUUGAUUUCCCAUUAUUAUUUAUUGACAUCAAUGAAUGAACUGUAUUCCAAAAUCUUUUACUUUUUCCACUCCUCCACACACUUAUAUGUAUAUAUAAUAUCUUUCCUUCUAUGCUCUUCCUCUCCUCAGCUUCCUAGCAUACUCUAUCUCCCUUUUUUAUUUUAAAUUUCUUAGAGCAAUCUUUUGUUUUUACUAAUUCCAGGUACACGAUCUCGCUCCUUAAUAUAUAUAAACACUUCGAUUAGCUUAUUGUGUAUUUGAAUUUUUAUUUAUUGGAUUAAUAUUUUUCAAUUAAUUCAUAAAUUGAAAAUUUCGUAUGAAUUUUUUUUCCUGUUUUAAAUUUUAUUUGUUUUUAAUUGAAUUAUGGUUAUAAUUUAAUUAUCUUUUGAUUGCUUUGUUAAAAAACAAAAGAUCAUAUUAAUAAUAUUUUCAUUGAAUUACUUAUACUAAAAGCUAAUUGCUAAUGCCAGAACAUAUAAAAAAAAAAAAAAAAAAAAAAAAAAAAAAAACCUAGCUAAUAUUAUGUGAUAUUUUUUUCAAGCAAGAAAUGGUUUGCUGACUAGGUCUUAGCUGUCAACGACACGUCACCAUCCCCUUCACCUAUUUUCCUUACUUGGAAAAUAUUUAAUAAAAGUAAUGUACAAUUCCAUAUUUACCCCUACAAACAGAUACUAUAUUCAUUUUUGUACGAAAUCGCCAUUUCCCUUACGCGGUUUCAUACUCUCACUUUACCUUACUUAAGAGCCUUACAGCCCCAACUCUGGAUGCAGCCUCUCUCUCUCUCUGUUUCAGACCGCAACCAUUUGUAAGGAACAGAACAUUUGUUUCUCAUUUACAGUGUUUCUGAUCUUUGUUUUUCAGUGUCUAAACAAUGGCUGAACGAGUUCACCCGCGUGACUCACCUCCUUCAUCCACUGAGUUAAAGAAGACGCCGUCUGCCUCACCGGAUCGUCCCUUGAAACCGGCAGCUCCAUUGCUGGAGAAACCUGUUUCUCCACCACCGGCUGGAACUUACGUCAUCCAAAUACCAAAAGACCAGGUCUACCGAGUCCCGCCACCAGAAAAUGCUAAACGUUAUCAACAGCUCUCUCGCCGGAAGCAUCGCCGGAGCACUUGCUGUUGCUGCCUCUGCUGGUUCUUUGGCCUCCUUUUUACUUUCAUUCUCCUCGCCGCCAUCGCUGCUGGUGUCUUAUACCUUGUUUUUCGGCCGGAAGCUCCUAAGUACUCAAUUGAGUCUGUCUCCAUUAAAGGUUUUAAUCUGACGUCAUCUGCUCCUCUUUCGCCGGAAUUUGACGUCGCUGUUAGAGCUCACAAUCCGAACAAUAAGAUCGGGAUUUAUUAUCGGACAGGAAGCUCCGUUAAUGUUUAUUAUAAUGAUGUUAGGCUCUGUAACGGUAAACUGCCGGUGUUUUAUCAGGGGACGAAUAAUGUGACGGUGUUUGUAGCGUCGUUGAAGGGGUCUGGAAUUGAGUUAACGAGUGCGGUGCAUAAGGCGUUGAUUAGCGGCGAAACCAAAGGAGCGGUACCGUUUAAGUUGAAUUUGAGGGCGCCGGUGAGAAUUAAAGUAGGGUCUCUGAAGACGUGGACGAUUACCGUUAAAGUAGACUGUGAUGUAACGGUGGAUAAAUUAACGUCCAAAUCUAAACUUGUGUCCAAACAUUGUGAUUAUGGUGUUGAACUGUGGUAGGAAUUGGGGGUGCUUGGCUGUAGAGUUAGGGAAUUUCGGUGGGUGGGGAUUUGAUUUUUUUUUUAUUUAUUUAUAAUUAUAUUGUUUUAUGUGACAGACAGAAUAUUAAUAUAAAUAUAAUAUAUACAUAUACGAUUCAUUAUUAUUUUGAUUUUUUUGUCAUGUCUUACGUGUUGGAGAUUAGUGUAUUGCACAUUACUUACUUAAUAUAAUGUGAUUUAGGAUUUGGUUUGUUUUAUAAUUUUAGAUAUGUAUUAAUUAAGAAUAUCCCCUAAUUAAUGUAUGUGAAUGUGAAAUCUAAAAUCAAUUUUGAAGAUCUUAGAAUAUUAAUUAAUUUUCAAUCCAAAUAUAGAUGUUGCUAUUUGCUUUAAGUUUUCAGAUUUUCAAAACUUUGUUUACUUUUUUUAAUUUUAAUUUACUCAAAAGAUGGUAUUAAAUGGUUACUAUCAAUUUGGCAACACCAUUUGUCAUGCAUUAGACUAGUUCAAGAUUUGGUAGAGAAGGAUGUAAAAAAUAUUACUUUGGAGCAGACACUGAAGUUAAGUUCAUUUCUUUUCACAUAUAAUUUUUUUUUUUUUUUUUUUAAAUUCUAACAAGAAACAUGCAAUAGAAAAAUUCAAAUGUUGUGACUUGGUCUGCAAAGAAUCUUGUAAGAGAAAUAUGAUUAGGUAGUUUUUGUUAAUUACUUGAGUUCUGAUAUUAUGAAUACCUAACCCACCCUCAAGAAAUAUGACCAUUGAGAUAUGCAGAAAAAUAUAAAUAUUUAAAAAAUUAAAUUGCUCUGCAUAAUCAAGAUAUUAAACAGGGUGGAAUUUGAUCUUGAGUUCCUAUCCUGUAUGUGAGAAAAAUUGAGAAGGAUUAGGCAAAAACUACACAGGAUCCUGUUGCAUUCAAAAAUCUCUAUUUAUCACCCCCAGCAACCAGAUGGUGAUAGCUUUUCUGAACUGCUAAAAACCCACACCAUUCCCUUUGUAAUCUUUCCAUUACAACUUUAUAUCAGCUCCUUUAUUUUGUUCUUUACCAAUAAAUGGCUUCCACUUGGCUUUUUCUUUCUUUCUUUUUUUUUUUUUUUUUUUAAUUCCUUUCUUCAUGUACAAAUGCCAUAUAUGUCCAAAAUGCUUCAUGUAUGAGAUUCUGAAUACUGCUGCACAGGUGAAAUUCUUCCCUCCCCACUGCAACCAAAUUCUUCUGUUCCAUUUUCUUUUUCAAUUAAACAACUUGUGAUUGGAAUAGGGUUUGAGGUUGGGGAUUCUUGGCAACUUGAAUGGCUUUUUGAACUUCUGCGUACAUUUUCACGGAACGGUCUGAGAAGUUAUUCAAUUGGCCAAGAAAUCCCUCCAAGCUUGAUCGAAAACGCUCAAAACCUGGAAUGAAGUCAUCUAAAGCUUCAUCUUUCAACAUAUUAAUUUCUGAAUCACUGCCAUUAUCAGCCUUCCAUGAUCCUAAGUUUGCACUUUUUCCUUGAUUCUUUUCUUGGCGGGGUAAAAAGUGAGCAAUUUCUGCCGCUAAACCCUUUAUAGCCUCCACAACAUCCUUUGCAGGCAAUUCAUUGAGCUUCUCCAACCAGACACCACAGAUGGCAUAUAUUGGAGGACCUUUCUCUCUCAAAGUUAACGAAGGUGGUGGUUGUCUCCUUUUCUUCUUUACAGGUUUUUCAGGAAGAAUGACACAUUUGAAAAGCCAAUCAUUUAUAGCCUGCAGAUAGGACUUCUGAGCACCUAUCCACUUUGUAAAACAUGAUGACAGAGAGUAAAGUUCAUUUUCUAGAUGCAUGGUAAUCUGCCGAUGUGACUCUGAUUGUAUUGAGAAUUUGGUACUCCUAUUGUUGUAUGCUAUCGAGAUUAUGUGAAACUGAGACUUGUGGCAGUCAAGCAUCACCUCCCACAUCCGACUUAGCCUGUCAUUGACAAAAAGGGUAAUGAGAUCAUGUCCGGAAAUUAGAAGUAUUUACCAAGAAAUGUUGAAAUUUUAAAUGCUAAUCAAAAUCAGACAAAAUUAAAAAUGUCUGUUUAGUCAUACUAUGAGCAUAUAAUAUCACCACUGGUGAUUAAGAAAUUAGCAUACAGUUGGUAGGCCAAGUUCUGCAAAACCAUGGAGCUGAUUAUGGGAAACAUACACUUAGCUAAGUAAAAUUAAAAACACCUGGCCACAGAGAUCCGAUCAGACAAAAGAUUCUUUGGAUACAGCUGCUCAGAAUUUGGGAAUAAUGUACCCACUAAUGUCCAAUCCCAUCAGACAAGGAAGUCUUAAUAGCACUACUACCAGCAUUGAACAGCUGCUCAGAAUUUGAGAAUAAUGUACCCACUAAAACUUGAGAGUAAUUGACAAUCAAGAUUAUAUUUUUCUUUUUGGCUCUCAAACAACAGAUUAAUUUUGCUUUUGAGACGCAGACACACACACACAGUGAAGAUUCUAAUAAUCAAUUGAAACUUGAGACCCAAAAAAAAAAAAAAAAAAAAAAAAAGAUAGUCCAUGGAAACCAACUCAGGAAAACAAAAUGCUCCAUCUAGAUAACUCAACUUUGAAUACGUACAAAAUAAGAUACAUCCUCAAUUCUUUUCCCUGAACCAGAAUUAACAACAAUUUUGAAAUGUCAUAAGUAACAGAGAAUUUUGGAGAGGGAGGAGGUUCCUUUUGGGCGGAGAGGUGUGAGGCUUAAACACGCACUAGGUCCUAAAUUGAAAAGAAUUCUAGGACCAAGUUUUGUUUCAAAAAAACAUUUAAAAUUCUAUUUCCUACAAGUACAUGCCUGCCCUUAAAAGAAAGUGCUGUCAAAGUAUCCAUAACACUGAGUUGAGGAAAAAUGUUGGUGUCCCACCCAAUCAGCAUUAGCGAAGUUCACAAGGAUUUGAUUUUAUUCAUCAAUUACUUGCAUGGCAAGGUCAAGCACUCUAACGACAGUCAACUAUAGUACCUUCUUCUUAAAUAAAACAACUGUUCCCUUAUCGUUGUUAUUUCAUUUUAUCUCGUUUCAGUAAAUGUUUAUUUGGGUGAUAAACUGGUAGACAGUUAAGGUAAUCAUUCUAAUUGAUGAUGUCUUCAGAAUUAGGCCAGGCGAGAACAAAAAUAAAUCGUGUUACUUAAAGCAGUCUAUAGCAGUCAUGAUAUGUUGUUGAUUCUAUAAACAUAUUAACAUAAAAUGUUUCUUAGCUCUACUGUGUUGCAAGAAGAGUAUAUGGGCUUUGACGUUGAACAUUAUCAUGCCCAGGUUGUAUUAGCAACUCGAAUUAAAGAAACAGAAAAAGGGAAACAUACCCAUCAAUCAAUUCCUCAAGUUGCGGUUGAAGCUCUUUGUCACGUAAUUCCUCGAUUCUAUUUGAUAUGGAAUCAAUUCUGUGAAUUGCAACUCUGAUUCUUGAGUGUAGAUCCUUAACAACAGCACGAGUUUUAUCAAUUUGGUAGCUAUUUUGUCCUUUAAAUUCCAGUUGCCUAAGAAUAGUUCGCUUGGCAUCAUAUUCCUUUCUGACCGCCUCGCUAGCCUGAAUUUGAGAAUAUAAAUAAAUAUAUUUGCAAUUGAAGGGGAUAUAAAUACACCAUAUAGAAUUCAUGUGACACCCAAUUAUACAUUUUUAGUGUCAUCACGAUAGUUCUAUUUUGCCAGCUCAAAAUUUGCAACAAACGUUGGUCUGCAUUUUAACCCAAUCACGUUUAUCUAAUGUUCUAUGCUUUCUAGAUAUGCUAUGUAGUCAAGCAAUUCCUGCAUCUAGAUUGACAUGAUAUCUAUAGAUGCGAAUCAGCAGAUGAACAAAUUAAACACAUUAUAGAAUUAAGCUAACAUUCACAUUACAUACUUGAGACAGUUUUCCACUCAGCAAAGAGGAAAAAGAAAAUUAAUGCAGUAACAACCCACCAGCAAUUCAAUUUUUGAUCUUUCUACAUCACAUCAAGUGAGAUAACAGUCUUACUAGUUGGGUAAUCAUCUAGAUGUCAGCUAUUUUCAUCUUCAGAUUAAGUUCUUAUUCUCACCCAAAUAUAGAUUUUUCUAGAAAACCCGAAUGUAUGUCCUCGUCCCAAAACCAACAUUCACUCCUAUAUCUGGCGAUACCACCUCACCUACAUAUGUUGACCAUUGUCUUGACCACUGCAAAAACAUCCAAAAUUGGCCAACAGCCACUACUCAACUAGUUCAAAAUCCAUGCGAAUAGCUUCUCCAAAACAGGCCUCCCUCAAACCAUUUAAGAACUGUUGACAAAAUGAAAAUACCAAUAAUUCUCAUCAAUAGAUGCAAACACAUCACGCGCUUGUAAGGAGGUCGUGGAAUUAUGGAUGGUUCAAGAGGUAGGGAUUUUUCUCCCAUGGCAGCCAGUCAAUCUUCUAUCUUACUUUUCUGAUACCAUUUCCAAUUGUCAUUUAAAAAACAAAAAAUCUUAUAUGAACACUUUAGUAACUUCAUCACCAACCCAUUUAUUAGUUGACAAUAGGUAUCUUGGUUAAAGUGGAUGUUGCCAAUAUAUAGUUAGAUAUAAACAGCAAAAAAUCCACAGAGCAAAUGUAAUAAUUAUAAUUCACUUACUCAUGAAAUUGAGCAAACAAAUUAGGAACAGAGUAACGGACUAACAGGGAACAGUGCACCACUGUUUUGAACUGUGGAGAUUAUUGUAAAACAAGAAUAUAUAGAAUCAGAGCAUCUCUUUCCUUUGAAAAGUAACUCAGCUGUGACUUAUUCUCAAUCCUAUUUUUUUCUUCAAUUACUUAAUUCAGAGCUGCAUCUAAAGUAAAGUUUAUCAUUGCUAUAUUCUUUUCCAUUACUUCAGCUAAUUUAUGAUAGGGCUGCCUCUUAUUAUUCUAUUCAAAUUGAUUGUUAAAAAUUCAGUUUUGAGUUCAUAUGCCAAGUGAAUAAAUCGACAAGCAAAAGUUUACAUAUAUAAAAAUAGAGAAGGAACAUAAAACCAAAAUGAAACAUGUUAUUCAUCCUAAAGUUGAAAAACAACUGAAGAAGUGCAAAUUAACAUAAUCAGCUAGUAAAUCACCUAAACUUUAAAGCAUAAUAAACUGACAUUCAGAUGGCUUUCCAUAAUUUGAUUGCAACCAAAAUAUGAAUUUAGAGCAAUUUGACAAGUAAAACAGCUAAUAGAGAGAGGAAGUGAGAAAAAAUUCAUAUGAUUUAUAUACCUAAAAAAAAGAUGCAAGCACUACAUAACGAAAAGGUCAUAUCAAAUCAUUUCCACCUAAUUUUAUCAACUUCUCCUUUCAUAUGAAAAGGUAGGCAAAAAGUGGAAAAUCUUUCUGGCUUUCAUUUGAAAAAUAUGUUUAAGAAAGUCCUGUAACUAUAUUAAGAAACCACAAUACCUUUACUUCAUCAUAAAGCUUUCGCUCCCAAGCAUAUAGCCUAUCCAAGGUUGAAGCAUGACUGCCAGAGAUCAUGCAAAAAUUUUCAAAAAUAUUACUGGUAAGAUCCUCAUUGUCAUCCCUAAUAUUUGACCCGAGAGGAUUCCUAGAUGAAGAUGAUCGUGAAGAUGUUGUCCUAUGCCAAGUUAAGUAUUUCACGUCGUUUUGAGCAGGCUCUGAGCAAACAUUAAACGAAUUAGUAGAGUAAUUAGUCCAAAGAAAUGAAGGAUAUCUUAAGUGCUAAUAUGAGAGCAAGUAUAAAAUUAAGACUAUGCAAGUUAUACAAGUUAAGCAACUCAGCUUUUCAAAUAUUCAUGUCUACAGUCAUGCUGUGUUUGUACAUUUGUCUUCACCUAAGUUAUGAUAUAUUUACAGAUCCCCGAGUCUAAAAUUACGAAUGGGAAUUUCACUAAAAUUUUAACCGAUUAAUAUUCACGAACAAAACUUUUCACUCUCUUCUUGCUUCUCCAUUUCCACAUCAUUUUAACUGAUUUACUUUCACUCCAAGCAGUCUACAUUGCUAAAACUACUCCAAUACAUACUUAUAUCACACAUUGGAGUCCAAUAAAUAAUGGACCGUUAGAUGGCAUUUACUUUUGGGGAUCACAACUAUAAAGACAAGUUAAAGAUAAAUCACCAAGUCAUCCAAACAGCCAAAGUUCUUAGAACCACAUGAUCGUAUCUAAGUGAUUGACAUUCUGAAAUAAUGCCCAUAUAAAUCUAACCCCAGGAUGAGAAGUGACCAUCUUAUGACACGAAAAAAUAACUCAGCAAAUAGAUGAGCAGGACUACCUUCUUGGACUUGACUAGGGUCUUCCCCACAAGAGAAACAAGCUUUGAAGAAUGUUGAUACCACUGAUCCAUCUGCCAGAGAAGAUUAUAAAUUAAUUAAAUGCUUUAACUCAAUUAUAUUAGGAGAAGGAACCUCCAUAUAAUUCCCAUGCAAUGAGAUGAAAUAGAAAUAUCUUUCUUGAGCCAAUAGAAAAUGUCAAAUUCCUCAAUCAUUUUAUCAUUUUCUAUAGAACUCCACAAUUACAUGUCAAAGUUCCAAGCCAACUAUACAAACGAGCUUCAUCCAACAAGACCAACAUAGUCUGUUGUUGGUUAUUAUGAUUCAUAGAGAAGACUAAAAAGUAAAGUUGUCCUAAGCACCAAGCAAAGCCAACCUCCAAUUAGAUACAUUGGUGCUAAGAAUGAUAACAGAAUCAAAAACAUAACUUGGCAAAAAAAUUUGUCCACAUACAGUCAUGUAUCACAUUCAUACAUGCACAGACAGGGCAAAAAGAGACAAACACACACACAGACAGAGAGAGAGAGAGAGAGGGAGAGAUCAUACUUUCUUUUCCUGGGACUAUUGGACGGAAAUGCAACUUAUUUGCUUCAAGCAUCCUUGGAACUUCUUUCCCAGCCUCAGAAGCUUUUAUAAACAGGUAUUCAAUAUCUUUUAUACUCGAAAAGAAGUCCUUGGGAGGAACCUUAUUCUCAGCUCGAUCUUCUUUAACAGGAGUUUUCUUUGUGUCAGAAGAAACAGCCACUUGUGAGGAUGGAGUUCUCAAUGGUGACAAAUAAGGAGAGUUACUUUUCUCCCCAUGCAAUAACUCAGUUUCAGAAGCUACACUUCCAGCAGAAGGCAUGGCUGGGGAUGCAUUAGGUGCAACAUGAUCUUGAACCCUAUUAAGAUUCUCAAAACUUCUAACCAAAGUAUCUGCUGGAGGGUCAUCAAACUCAUCUUCUGAAUCCCCAGAUUCUUCACUUGCAUGAAAUGAGUGUCUCUCUUCCUCAUCUUCCAGUUCAGGAAUUCCUUCCUCUUCUCUAAGCCGUCUUAAAUCAUCAGCAUUAUCCAACCCUGGCUUCAUUUCUUUUCCUUCUUGAACAGAAAAUUGAUGGUCAAUUGGAUGAAAAAGUCCAAAGUAAUCCCAUGGUGGAGUUCCUGGUGGGACUGAAGAAGCUUCAAAUGGUGAUGCUUCAGGUUUUUCAGUGGAACGAGGUGUAGUAUUCUGUGGGGUACUGGACGAGGUCACAGUUCCUGUAACAACUACAGGAGGCUUCUCUUCAACCUUUUUGGAAGAAAAACCCCUAAAUUUCAUGUGAUUUGUUUGAAACCGACUAGAGCUGGGAGGAGAGGGUGAUGGAGAAAGAUUUUCAGUUGCAUCCACUGGUUGUGAUAGAGACGGAGAGGAAAUGGAGAAAUGUGAAAUGGACUUCUCAGUUAAAGCAAGAGGCUCUGGUGUUGCAUUAGUGGAAGUGUACAAUGAAGAUUCAAUUGGAGCUUCAGUUUCAGCGAACUUUCUUAGAGCAGUUCCUGUAUUUCUCAGUGAUUGGACAUAUAUAACAUGAGCUGCUGCUAGUGAGCACCUGCCGUCAAGAGCCUGCCUAACAAAUUUCUUCCUUUCACGACAAAGCUGCAAAGCCUUAUCUUCUUCUAUUUUUGAAUUUGCAGCCCCCAUUUUCCAAUGUUUCAAUAUUCCACUAAUUCAACAAUUUAACGCAUGGGGUUCUUCCUGAAAAUCAGCCAAUUACAGAUCAAAAUCAAAGGAACUUCAAAAACAUAUAUAUUGAUAUAUACAGCUCCUCUCAAGUUUUGAUGUUACUUUUCCCUUAUCACUUAAUAGGAGAUAAACAACCACAAAUUACAACUAUAACUAAGCAGCAGUAAUGAUGCUAAGAGAACUGAUUGGUUCAAUUGUUUUAAACUUUAAACAAGCUAGCUUAAUUUCUAGAUCCAUGAACCAAGACUUCUAGCAUUAAAAUAAGGGUAAAAAAAUGGGAAAUCAUAAAACAAAUCUCCAUCUUUAAUCCUUAAUUUUAAAUCAAAAUGCUCUGGAAACCAAGAACACAAAAGUUGCUAUAUUUCGAAACAUAAGCCUAAAAAGAAGAAAACCCAAAAAGAGAAGAGGGAAAUAUCUAUUCAUAUUCAUCUACACAAGCUCCAAAGUUAACACACAACCACAGCAUCAAAACUAGCCAUCAAAACGCAAAGAUGUCCAGAUGACCAAUUUCUGGAUUAUCAUAACCUAUAAACUCCAACUGCCAAACAAAGCUCCGCCCCACAUAUCCAGUUCCUUCCAGUAAAAAUAACUAAACCAUAUAAAAAUAAUAAAAAAAGAAAACCUUUGCAGAUUAUACAACCGUCAAUCUCUGUUAAAUUUAUUAAUUAAAACUAAACUAGUAAAAAAAAAAAGCCCAUCGAGAGAGAUGGAUGGGAUGGAGAAUUGCAUAGUACCUCAAGAUAGAAGUGAACUCAGUAGACCGAGUACAAAUAGCAUAAAAAGAGAUAAAAAUCAAGGCCUAGAACUCAGUAGAAUCAAUCAAAACAUCUGCAAAAUGAACAAAAAAGCAGAAAACAGUAAAGAUGAUAUAAGACACAGAAAGAUACAAUAUUAACAAAACUGCAAACUAAAAUCAAUAAAAGAAGUUGAAAAACAACAAUCAACAAUUAAAAUCAAAGUAAAACUAAAAUUAACAACACUAAAUCUACUAUGGAUUAUUAUAUUUAGAAGUGAAGAGAAGUGAAGUUAAGUCAAGAGAAAAGAAUAUGACCUGAGAAAUUGAAGUAAAAAGUAAUAACAAGCGUGGAAUUCAGGGAAUUAGAGACUCAGAUUUUGAGCAGAAUUAUUCCCAUUGGUUUUGGUUCAUACAGAAAGAAGAGAACUUUGGCUAGAGAGGGAAAGAGAGACUUCCUAGAGAGAGAGAGGAGUAGAGAAUCGAUUAAAGAGAAUCCGAUCGAGAAGAGAGAGAGAGAGAGAGAGAGAGAGAGAGGAGGCUGUGGUCUGUUCCAUGCAAAAGGCAAUCUGGCAGAAGAACGCAGACACAUUACACGCUGUGCCGCUGUGGACUGUGGACCCCGCCUCAUUCCAGUCGCCACCCCUCAUUAAGAAACCUCCAGGCAGCGUCAUUUCCACGCGCUUCAUCCGUGACUAAAUAAACUAUAUUAUUAUUAUAUUAAUGAAAGGGUAAAUUACUCUCUAGGCCCUGAGAUUUAACUAAAGUUAUUACUUCAUCCCUACUGUUUGAAACAAUUACUACAAAUUUCUGAGGUUUUAAACUAUUUAGCUCUUUUAUAUUUUCAUUGUUAAGUGAGAAACUAAAUAAUAAUUCACUAAUAAAUAUAAGGGAUUAAAUAAUAAUAAUAAUAUAUUAAAUAGGCUAAACAUUAUAUAAUAUUUAAAGCUAAACAUUAUAUAAUAUUUAACGGUGAAAUAAUAUUUUUGGAAACGAUGGAUUAAGUAAUUUAAAGGGAUCAAAUAUUAAAGACAUCACAAUAAUUUUUCUGGGAAUGAAAUUUCGGUAAUGUAAUAUUAAAUAUAAAAAACUAAAUAAAUGAAUAUAUCUUUACACAUUAUCUAUAUAUGAUUAAGGUGAAACUAUAUGAACAUUAAUUUUCUUUUUUUAUUAUUUAUUAUAACUUUAAUAAGGUUUUUCUUUGAAAAAAGAUUUUAGUUGGACUAGUAUAAAUUUUUUUUUUUUGCUAGAUAAAGUUUUCAAAAAAAAUAUAAUUGUAAUGAUAUGAUAAAAUUCUUGAAAAGUAAGCAUUAAGUGGAUUUAGCUAAAAGGCAACAAAGUAAUGAGUAAACAAACACAAUGAAUAGAGAAAAAUGUGGAAAGCAUCUCCUUUUUCUUUUUUCUUUUUUUUUUUCUUUUUUUUUUUAAUUUGUGGUUUAAGAGGCUACCUUUUGGACAAAGCUUUAUCUAUCUCUUUAACCUACUUUUGGAUUCUCUCUUUUUCUUUUUUAAAUUAAGACAAUAAAAUUUUGGACACUUUUAUUUAUUCCUUGUAUAUUAUUUUUGUUUUAUACAUUCUUUUUCUAUUUAUAAAUCAUAAUUGUUCUUGUCCUAUAUUCAAAUCCAUUUUAGACUUGCUCUAAAAUAAAAUGAGGAGAAUAUCAAAAUAAUUUUAAAAAUUAGAGCUUGAUUUAUUAGAAAUAAUAUUAUUGAAUGUACUAAGUCCACGAAAAGGAAUUUGGGUUUAAAAAUAAUAUUAUGAGCAAAUUUAAUGUCAAUUUGUAUAAGUUUGAUUCAAAAUGAAAAUGGGUAAAAAGAAAGAAAUAAGAAGAAAAGAUAUGUAAGUUAAUGUUGGGGAACGGCUUUUUAAAUAAUCUUUUAGCAUUUUGACCAGAUAAAAUAUUAAAUGUUAUUUUUUAUAGUGUUGGGUAUCAUAGCGUUUUGACUAAUUUUUAGAUGUUAAGGUAGCGUUUUAUGCAAGUUAAUCCAUAUAAGUGUUUUAUGAAAAGUUACUCGAACAGUUAACAACUAAAUGUUACUAAAACAGCUGUUAAAACAACUAAUUUUGCCGAAUAAACCCGUAGUAUGGUUUUUUUGUUGAGUCUGUUAAAGAAGAAGUGGGGUCUAUUCCUUAUUCCAAGACUUUGCUUUUCAAAUUUUUGAAAAAAAAAAAAAAUCAAUGACUUAGAGGUUUUCUAUUUGACCACAAUUAAAUCCAUGUACAAAACUCACUCCCUAGAAUAUUUAUAGCAAAUAUUUAUAGAACAAUAAAGACCCACCUACCCUUUUUAAUGUUUAAAUAAUUACAUUUCUCCAAUACAUAAAAUUAUUAUAUCCACUUCACUUAUGUUUUGUCUGUUGCAUAUAAGUAAUUAUUUUAAUUCUUGAAAAUAGUUAUUACUCUUAAAUAGAUGUCUACUUCAAGGUUAGUGAGCUAGAAUGUCAAAAUUAAAUAAUUCAAUCUUGAAAUCAUAGAUUUUGUAAUCAAGUCAUUAUAUUAUUUUUUUUGUGCAUUGAAAUUUAAAUGUAGAAUAUAUAAAUAAAGGUAUAUGUAUAUUUCUAAGUCCAAGACUUCUAUUUCUAAUUGAAUUUUUAAAUGAUUAAAUUAAUUUUGUUGGUUAUUUCUUUAAUAUCAAUGUUUUAACAUUAAAAUAAAGUAAAAAUCUUAGCAUUUUGCUUUUUUUCUAAUUGUAGUCAAGAGAUGUACAAACCAAGGGCAUUUUGUAUGAAAACAGUCAAUUAUUAGUGUUAAAUAAGCACAAAAACACUAGAAUUUGUCAUUUUUUUUAAUUUUAACACUUUUCAUUUAAUACAGAGAUCAAUCAACUAAUUUCAUCCUUUGAUAUUUAUUAUUAAUAGUUUUCCCUUCUUAGUUUUACAUCCUUGCUUCACCCCUAAUGAAGAUGCACAACAAUACUGCAAUAUGAGCUGUCAAGCUUAUAAUUAUUUUUUUUUAGUAAUAAACACGUAGAAUAUAUUCGACAAUAUUAAUUGUUUUAAUAGUGGUUAGCUGUUAUUAACUAUUAGCUUAACUGUAGUUGUUUAUGAAGUUUCGAUAAAAAUAGCUGUUUAAUUUAAAAUAAUAAAAAAAUUACAUUAGUUAUUUAAUUAGUUGAAUUUAAAAAUUGAUACGAUUGCCAAAACAAUUUAAUUAAUUUUUGCGAAACACUAUCAUUAAAGCGUUUAAAUACAAUUAAUAGAGAUAGAGAUUUAAUUUAUUACAGUAGUUCUAAACUUUUAACUCAUUAUUAUCUAGGGCCUACUCUGCAGCAGCUUUUCUAUUAUUUAUAGUGUUCGAUUGCGUAACUUUAUUAAUGUUUAGAGUUUGAUAAAGCAAAUUAUGAUUCCCUUUAACGUUUAAUAAAGUGCUAAAUAAAACAGCUAAUAGUUACUAAAAUAACUAAUUUUAUCUAUCAUAUCCCUAAUCUAUUUCUAAGAUGAGUCGCAUAAAAUAGCGAGGAUGUGAAUAUUUUUUUAUUUUUAAGAGAAAAGAGAGAGAUGCGUGGGUGAAAGGACAAGCCAGCAAUAAUUGUAAUAACAAUAACAUUCAAAUCAUAAUUCAGGUUAUGAUCUUCAAUCCAUCAUCUUUUGACAAUGACAAAGCUGCCUGCUAUGCAAGAAAGAUUUUGGCCUCAUUUUGAUAGCAAAAAAAGUAGCAUCACAUAAGGAAUCUAUGAGUGUCUUUACACAUGGGAUGUUGAUGAUCUCCACUUGGUGUUGCCAAAAUAUAUAAGAAAAAGUGUAUCCACACUUUAUUUUGAUUGAUCUAAAAUCUAAAAGUUGGCUAAUCGUUUUUAUUUUAUCUUGUUAUUCAAAAAAAAAAAAAAACCAAUUAAUAAUAAUUAUACACAUGAAAUUAUAAUUAUGCAGAUGUAAAUAUAACAAAUGUGUCAGCAAAUUAUUCACAUCAAACAUUUAAACUAAAUAAUCCAAUGAAUUCAUAAAAACACAAUAUAAAUCUUCUAAAAAUGGCACCAUGUUCACUCUUUAGCCAUUUGGCUUCUUGAUUAGAAGAAAUGAUAAUCUGAACUUGAAAAUUGAACAGAGAAAUUCAACCAGCAUAUAAUCUCUAGACCAAACAAUAAAAAUUACACAAAAAAAAUAUGCAACAAUUAUGAAUCUACUCAUUAAUCUAAUAUAUAAUGGCGAUUCUGCUGGUUAAUGGUCAUUGGUUACCUUGCAUCCGAAGUUAAUAGCAAUCUUGUGUAUACUAGAACCUAACCGCCAUUGUUAGUCAAAUCUAUCCAAGCAAGUUUGGGGCAAACAUAUACAAGAAUAUUCCUAAUAAGAGCUGCUUUUCCCUUAGCUAAAUCUAUCCAAACAAGUUUGGAGCAAAAGAUACAAGAAUUUCCACCACUAAUGAGUUGCUUUUACCUUGUUCGAGCAGAUGACCGAGUAACUCUUCUCAAAUCAGAUACAGAUUGUGAUGCUUGAGAUGAGGUGCAUCCAACAGUAUCUGCAUCAGUAUUUCUGUUUGCUUUAUGUCUCUUUCUUUUGGAUCCUGCAGAUGGGUGGCUCUCAAUUUGUUCAUUUGGCUCAUCCUCUCCUUCUACAGCUUCACAUUCGGGAACUUCACAAUCCCAUUGAAUGCCACAAGUUGGACAAACUAUUUUACCCUGCAAUGCCAAACAUUUUGCCAGUCAUUUACAUGAGAAAAAUACUUCAUGCUUGAUUUCUGAGAAAAUAAAUUCAUCAGAAGAUUCAAAUUGAUACCCUUCUUUGGGAAAGUUUUUUCUUCAGGCAGUAAUGAUGAAUUCGAAGCGCACAACCUUCAUUUUGGCAAACUUUUGCCUGCCAGAAGUAGUCAGAACAGAAUCAAUGGAUUUGAUAGGAAUACAAGGAUUCAUCAGUUGGCCCUAAUUGUUAUCGGUUGCUGUGGCAGUCAUGGGUUAUUUAAUAAGCAUAGAAUUAAUUUUAUCUUAAGGUAACUGGUGAGAGUACAAGGAUAUUUAACUUCUAAAAUUACAUGAGUCUGCACACAUAUUCGGCUUUGAUGCUGCAUGAAUGUUGAUGUACUUAAUCCUCCUAGUGGCAACCUCAUCUUGCAAAUAAUUGUGAUUUCUCAACAAGCAGUAGGAGCUGUACAUAAUGAUGGGCUAAUUCAUGUAGUUCAACCGGGUCGAAUAAGUAGUAAUCAACUACAAGCUACAAUUUCUUUGAAAUUUUAGGCAACGACAAAAAUAGAGGCAUUUGAGUAGCAAAGCAACAAAACCUUUAUUGCAGCCUCAUUGCAUACUUCACAUGAUGGAAUGCCAGAAUUAUGAAAUAAACUUCGUAAAUCAAGGUAGGAUCUGACACCUAGUCCAAUGUGACCAUCUGGGGUGUGACAAAGCCACUUAUCGCGCACAAGUUCAUCAAGAGUUUUUUCUUUCUGUGACAUAGAAAAAUUCCUUAACGCAGGAGGCACUUGAGAUAAACCACCUUGUGAUUGUGAUCCUGUCCCACCAUGAACCUGAAAAUAGACCAAAGUAAUAUAUACAUAUGAACAUCUCUGCAUACAAGAAAAUGAAGAAAAAAGUUCGAUGAAGUUUCUGGUCCUAUGAAAAUAAAUUUUAUAUAACCAGCAUAAACUUGUCCGCCUAUAAAAAUAGCUUAAUCUGCAAGUACAUAAAUUCCGCAAUCCUUUGUCAUUAAAAUACUAUUGGCAAUUUUACUAUCAAUCAAAGGAGCAUGUUCUAAUUUGUAACAAACCACAAUGAUAUAAUUUUCAAUGAAUGCUCUUUUCUAGGAAAAAGUAAAGUAUAACUCCAAGAAUCACAAAGCACAAGUGACUUGCAAGAGAUAAAGCAUUAAUUUUUUGAAAACAUAGAAAAAAAGGGCUUUCAAUCUAGAGGAGUGAAAAUUAUAAUUUGUUGAACUUAAGAAUAUCAGUUGUGUGCUCUAUAUGCAUAAUAGUAACUAGUUGCAAUGCAUAUUACAGAAAAGGUAAAAAUAAUUCCAUUGUUAGAAAUCAGAAAAUAGGAUUUGCCUAAAUGAAUUGUUCCAAACAAAGACUUCUUCUUCCUUAGAUUCAAACUUCUGAAAGAAUUUUCAUUUAUCCUGUUGUUUCAAAACCAUAUAUUAGGGUAAUGAACAAAAGCAUUUUUUUAUGGAAACAAAUUAUUAAUGAACUCUAAUCAUAGAAGACACUUGUGAUUCCUAAUUAUAUAUCACUUGGAUUUUUCUCUAUACCACUUAAACAAGGCAAUUAGAGUACAAAAUUUUUUUCUGCAAAUACAAAAUGUCCUGGAUUGUAUUAGCUGAAAUACAAUGUAAACAACAAUAUUAAGUAUUAUUAUUUAUCACCAGUUGCUGGAUUAGAUCAAUAAUUACUGAAGCUCAGGGAAAAAAACUUUCACACCUGACUCUCCAGCCGUAUGUUGAGAGCAUCAAUUGUGGAUAUGCUACCUUGGGCUGUGGCAUCCUGCACUAUUGCUUCUAUCUGGCACAUAAACAGAGCAGAAACAAAAAGGACUAUAUAAACAACAUAAACUAUACACCAUAAUAAUUGACAUAAGAACAUAAAUGUGCACAAAAAGCAGGAAAAAUCAACAACUUCUUUUUCCUCCCAAGAAAUCAAAGAAUCGUGAAAGAUGCACACAACACAACAAGAAGUGAUUUUAACUAAACUAGCGUAGUAAUAAAAGCCCAUUUCAAAUAACAUGGCAAAUAUCUCUCACGCUGUGUACUCAUAAUACAAAAGGUAUAACCAGAAGUGUAUAUUCUCUUCAUUGCUAGAAAAAUAUUGUUAAUGCCAAGCUAGAAACAUGAAAAGACAUGAAGGUGCUCCCUCAAUUGUCGAAGGUGUAUUCGACAGAGUUGAUCUCUUAUAAAGAUAUCAUUCUCGGCCAUAGAUAAAUAGAAACGCAUGCUAUCUAUAUUUCAAAGAAACUGAUACUUCCAGUGUUUACUUCUAAACAUUAUAAACUUAGCCCAAAGCCUUGUGAGAAACAUAUUUGCAUUCAAGUUUAUUUCAUAAUGAAUAAACUAAACCUCGAAUUUGGAAAGGAAAUUAAGUAAUAAAAGGAGAAGAGAAAUAAGGGGAAAAAAAAAAAAGAAGAAAACAUAUAUCAUUUGCAUAAAAAGGUAAAUGUAAUUAAGUUUAUAGCAAGACUUACAACGCCCUUAUAUAGAGCAAUUUGGGGAACAGAAUAUUUAGUUCCAAGCUUAGAUUGUUCAUCAGAAACAUUGUUAACAAGCCCAUAACAAACUUCACCAUCAUUUUGGUUUCUGCAAAGCCUAAGCUCCAUUUGAACAUAGGAAAGUUCCUUGUUAAUCUUUAGAAGGAAAUCAUUGAAAUCGCGCUCACAAGAGCCUGAAAAUUCAACAAUGCUUAUAAGCCUGGAUUAUCAGUGACCAAAACAGACCGAAUAGACUAAAGUGCAAUUAAAUUAAAGAAAAGGGAAAGACAAAUUAUUACGUGGGUGUUUUCCGGUGACGCCGGUGAAAAUCUUCUGGAAUUCGUUCUCCUUAAGUGGGCCGCGCGUCAUCAACACUUGGAUGAGAGUGUGGUGCUUCCAGUUCAGCACCGCCAUUUUCGUUUUUUUUUUUUUUUUUUUUUUUUUUUCUUAAUUUUGAAACCCUAAGAUUUUAUCGAGAAUCAGUUUCUAAAGCCAUUCGACGGGCGGGGAAAAAUUUCCUUUUUUUUUUUUUUUUUCUUAAUUUUGAAACCCUAAGAUUUUAUCGAGAAUCAGUUUCUAAAGCCAUUCGACGGGCGGGGAAAAAUUUCCUUUUUUUUUUUUUUUUUUUUUAAUUUUGAAACCCUAAGAUUUUAUCGAGAAUCAGUUUCUAAAGCCAUUCGACGGUCGGACAAACAUUUCCUUUUCUUUUUCUUUUCUGAUUUUUAAAGGGCUAGCUCCCUCCCAAUAUUGUAGCUCUCCAUUUGCCUUAAAAUCAUUGCCGUUUGAUCAAACUUCAUAUUUAAUCGUAACCGUCUAAUCAAGAUGAUAUAUCAGGCUGAAUUUGCAGUAUGCAAUCGGUCAAAAGCGUUUUCCGGUUUUUAUAAGUGCAUCUAAAACCGAAUUCUGUUUGUAUCCUAGCCGGAAGUAUACUAUUUAUAUAACAAUUUUUUUUUUCGCCUUCCUUAAAUUUGAUAAUUCUUUAUUUUUUUCAAUGAUUCAUUUAUAAAUGACAAAUUUUAGUUAUUUUAUUCUAACUUUACUCUUAUUUAUAUUUAUUAAAUUUUAUCUCAAUUAAUUGAGAAUUAAUUAAAAGAUAAUCAAAUACUUUUUUUUAAAAUUAAAGUGGUUCCAGUCAGAAAAUAAAUUAUGUUUUUUAUUUAUCAUUUUACUUACAAUCAAUAAUUUUUUUAUAAAUCACCAAUAUCCGAAUCUUAUUAUCAAGAACCGUAUAAUCCGACUCGAGGUUUAGUCACAAUUAAAACUCUCCGCCCUUUCCUACAGGUGCAUUUAGUAGGAAAUCGAACCCAACAACUCAAAUCACAUGUCCAGCCUUCGUUGUUAGCUAAGUCAUAACCCACAAGUUACAAUUAGUAAUUAUUUAAUCAUAAAUUUAUCAAAAAAAUUAAUUUUCAAAGCUUAUUUAUUGAUUCAUUUUUUAGGGAAAUGGCAGUGUUAUUAUUGAAAAUAAUAGUCUCAAACUGGCAACGCAUAGGUUUAGGCAUACAGCUAUAAGGAAUAAGGCUCAAUUUGCCUCGUGAUGUUGAGAGCAAUAUACAUUUUACUCAAAUUGAUUUUACUCAAAUAUCAAUUUUUUGUACAAUUUACUCCUGAACUUGCACCAAAAGAACAAUGCCCAAUUUUCUAUCCGAAAAUUAUAUAGAAAGUUAAUUUUUGAGUAAAUUGUACAAAAAGUUGAAGAGCUUUUUAUUCUUUACGUAUUAGGGGGCAAAUUGAGAUUUAUUCCUAGCUAUAUAUCAACUAUGAUAACGAUAUAUGUAUUAAGGAGCCGACACUCACCAACACAAGCACUAUUUGGAUCAGAAUCAGAAUGUACAUUAACAAAACAACAUCAAUACUCAUUUAGGCACAAUUAACGGUCACAGCCACAGCCUUCUUGAGCCAGAAGUGGGUAACCUAUAAACACUAAGAUAUACCAAAAUACAAACUGCAAGAUAGUGUGAGCACUUUCAAAGAACAAUGAUUUUUCUAUGCAAAUGAUCUCCAGUUAAAGCUUCAUCUCCACCGUGAUCGUGAUCAUGAAAAAUCAAAGUGAGGAUUCCUACCAAACAUAAAACUGAACCCACGAGAAGUUUGUCAUACCUCUCCACCCAGUGAAACUUCAGCUGACUAGCACCAUAAAAUGAUAGAGCCACGAGUAAUGUCAUCACUGUGAUAGUGCUGCCAAACAAAUAAAAACGUGUCAAAACAAUACACAUACACAAUGGUGGAAAAUGAUUUUUCAAUUGCAUACCCUUUUCAUUAUGCAACAAGUUUCGUGCAUGUUUUGAGUGAUGGUAGAAACAAUCAAGUCAACAAGGUUGCUUAGUCGACUGGAAUAUCCAGCCAAGCUAACAUUCAAGUUUGGCAAGUUCUUCUAAUUGACGAGAAGAAAAAACCACUAACUAGACCAAAUAUAGAAUAAUCUAGUCAGUUUUGAACAGAUCCGAUCUUGAGGAAGCCACUAGCUAGGAUGUCAUUCUUAAAUUUGCUCAGUUGAAUUUUUUGCUUUUUCUUACGAUCAGAAAAGAGCUAAAUAGUACCAACGAAUAUUUGGUUUGUCAUCUCCAGAGCUAUGAGGUUUCAAAUUCAAAUUCCAAUCUCAAUCAUAGCCAAAUUAAUUUAAAUAAAUAAAUAAAAAAGGGGAAAAGUAGCAAAUCAAAAGUGGAGUUAACUAGAUUACUUUACAAUGCCAAGUCUGCUUUUAGAAGAGAUGCAUCAUCUUGACAAGCCACUUGGAUGUGGUUUCAAUAUAGGCUGGGCUAAUUUUAAUGUAAUGUUGCCUUCCAACCAAGAAAAUGUAAGUAAAAAAAAGAGUGUCAUGGUACAUCCAGCAGUGAUUAAUUAUACAGACUGAAAAAUCUACAAACUCAGAGACAGAAAUUUGGCUCAAAAUAUAUUCACUGGUCAGCCAAGGGGCAGCUUUUAGGCAACAUCAAAAAUUAAAUGCAGAAUGGCUUUACUUCAAAGUGUAAUCUCCAAAAGACAAGGAUGAUUGAAUAGGUAAUAACUACCAAAAUUCUGAAUUAUGGCUUUAUUAAUACCUGAAUAGCAGCACUAUGAUAGCAAGCACCAUCAUGGAGGAUGAAUUCCCAACAGCAAGGAAAACAGGAAGUGUGGUUGCACAAGGGGAUAAUGCAGGUACAAGGACAAGCCCUGCAACAGCCAUUUUUUCCAUGGGUUGGUUGUGCGAAUGACUGUGUCCACCACCCUUCCCAGAAAGAAAAAGUAAUACAUAACUACCACCGAGAAUUAUGAGAAGAAGUGAUGCAAGCUUGUGCACUGUUUCUUCUCCAGCAAUAGUGUUUGCCAUGGUGAUUGCUGUUAUCCCAAGAAGUGAAGUGGAUAUCACAUGCAGAACUGCCCCAAAAGCCGCUGUAUAAAGAGAAGAAAAAAGUUAUUGAAGAAUAUAUUUUUGCUCUAUAUCCACAAAACUUUGAGAUUACAAUGCAAAAUUCAGCUUCCUAUUCCAGUCUCCCCAGUGAACCAAUUCACAAACAAUAGCCUGGCCCAAUAAUGUGCCAAAUAUUUGAUGAACUUAAUCAAUUAACAACAGCAUGUUGAAGUCACAGCAUUAGAUCAGAUUACCCAGAUUAGCAUUAAUCCAAUUCGAAACCAAUGAACUAAAAUCAAAGAGCAUUUGGGUAUCAACACAAUCAAUCAGCUUAAAACAGAAUAAAACAUCCCACACAAAAUCCAACAGAAACAGAUUAACUUUAAUAUUCCAUACAUAUACUAAAUGCAUACCAUUCAGCAACAUACAUAUAGAGUCAUGCUCAUCAAUGAACUGCCAUGCCAGACUGGAACAAAGCUAAAAUAUGCAAAUCAUAAAACUGGAACUAAAUAAGGAAGCGCUUUCCUAAACCAAGCAUAGCAGAAAAUUCCACCUCAUUGAAUCAAGUUUCUCUAAUCUUAUAGCCCCGAAACAAAUUCCCCACAAAUAAUUGCAAUUUAUUCAGGUUCAAAUUACACCAAACUUCAAAACUCUAUGAAACCCAGUAAAUAUUUUUGCCAUUUAGGGCCAGAUCUAAAUUGCCACGCACAGAAAUAAAGAGAGAAGGUGAGCACAUACUGACAAGGAGGGUUCUUGAGAGAGUCCAUUUCUGUGCACGGCCAACAAUGGAGAAAGGAAGCCAAUGCGUAGGAAUGAAUGAAUGAAGAAGCGAAACGGUAGCUAUUCCUCCAAUAGUAGACAGAUCUUCGGCACUGAAACUCUUCUCCAUUUAUACAAAUCUAUCUAUAUUUAAAUCAAAUAUAUAACAUCCAAAGAACAAUGAGAAAUCAAAAAGAAAAAGGAAACUUAGAUGGAUUGUUCAGAGAUUAAAUUACACAGUUAUGGUAAUCUGGUAUGAGUUUUGAGUGGAGAAAUUGCCAUAUUUGAAUUGCUUCAAAGGUUUGGUGUGGGAAAUAAGAAAGGUUUUUGUCAGAUCCAAAACGAGUUGGGACUGAUGCUUUUUAACAGAAGAAGUAGAAGAGGAUUUUACUGAUAGUAUACGGAUGGAUGAAGGCCUGUAUGCGAAUGGCAGUCAAUUUCAUGGAAUAGGGUGAAAAAGUUUAGGGGUAAUUAUUAUAUAAUCCUUGUGUUUUUAUCAAAUAUGCUGGUAAAGAUCUCAGCAUUCAAAAUUAUACUAUUUAGUCCAUAUAUUAUAAUUUUUUUUACUAUUAAAUCUAAUGGCUAGUUUUCGUUGAGUGGUUGUGAAUUUCACCUUGAUGAAAAUUACAAUGUAAGGUAUAAAUAAUGUAAAAUUAUAAAAAUUGAUAUAUUUACUUAUGUUAUCAAACUAUAAGAAUUAUAUAGUAAUUAAAAUAUUUUUGAUAGGUCAUGGACACUUAAUGAAAAAACUGAACAGUUAAACAUUACAGUUACAGUAUAACUGAUUUAUGAUUUAUUAUGUGCAAACUAAAUAGUAUAACUUUAAAAAUUGAGAUCCUUACUAAUAUAUUUGAGCAAAAUGCAAGGACUAUAUAGUAAUCACCCCUAAAAUUUAUAAGUUAGAAUUUUUAUAACUUAGCAUAAUAAAAUAAAUAAUAGAGUAUUGUUUUUUUUUUUUUUUACUUUUUUUGCAUUUUUUCUAUUUUUUUUAAAGGGUUGAUUAUAAACUUGGUGUUUGAACUUCUUAAAAGUUCUAUUUUGAUAUCUCAACGGAAAACGUUUGUUAUUAAGUGUUACAAUCCAUUAAAAUUUUUCAAUCUAAUAUUGCCUGAUUAUGUGGUACACCGAAAAUAUGACUAGGACGACAGGCGUUAUGCUGAGUUGGAUUUUUUUUCAUGAUAUGGAAAAUUAUGUUGAGUUGUCCGCCGAUGAUUGGGUAUUCUGAAUGAAUAGAAAGACCAUUACAAAGGUUACGGUAUAUCAAAUGGCUUUGCAAUUUUUUAUUCACUCUCAUCCUCUCCUUUCUCUCUCUAGUAUUAUCAAAGCAUUUCCUGCGAAACAAACAAAGCUCCUUUCUCUCUCUAGUAUUAUCAAAAAAUUUCCUACGAAACAAACAAAACAAAAGAGAAGAGCACCAAAAAAUUUCAUCUUUUGGACAUGAAACUAAAAAAAAAUACUAAAGACAUGCUCAAUCGGCAACAAAGAAGAGUAAGGAAGGGGCUUAUAAAGCAACAGACUGAUUCGACUUCAAAUUUAAUAAUGGGCCAGUCACUUGGAUUACAAUUGGAGCUACUAAACAUAAAGAAUUAGACUCACAGUAAAAAAAAGUUCAGAAAGUAUGUUUGUAAUGGCAAUAAAGGGAGGUAAGGCAAGAGAUGGGACAAUGAAGGUGUUGGAAACGGUGGUUGCUGUAGGAGCGAAAACGAAGCACAGUGAAAGAGGGUGAAUGCGAUGAAGGGGCCAACACAGAAGCCGUUGACUCAAAUCUCGCUCGUGAGAUUUGCGUCUUUGGUGCUAUGUGGAUUGGUGAUGUUCUUUCAUUGGGUCUAUGUUGAUGCCUUCGUUUCUUUGUUUGGUUAUGAAGUUUUAUGUGGUUAGGAUUGAUUGUACAAUGAAGAACCCUAAUUUUUCAAGUCUCAAUCUGUUUUCUCUAUUUCCUUUUUCAAUUUUUGUAAACUACAAUUUCUAAAUAUCUCAACUCGAUGCUCUAUUAACAAUAAAAGGCAUAAACAUUUUAAGGUUAUUUUAAUAACUUCAGUUUUUAUAUUCAUUCAGAAUACUUAAUCAUUAGUGGACAACUCAGUAUAAUUUUCCACAUUAGUAAAAAAAUCCAAAUCAGCACAAUACCUGUCGUCCUAGUAGUAUUUCUGGUGUGUCACGCAAUCAAGCGACACUAGAUAGAAAAAUUUAAUAGGCUGAAAUAUUUAAUUACAAAUGUUUUUUUAUUGAGAUAUUAAAAUAUAAUUUUUUUGAGAAGUUCGGACAUCAAAUUUAUAAUUAACCAUUUUCUAAAUAAACUUUAGAUGCGAAGCACUUAGAUUUUUCUUUUUCUUUUUUUAUUUAUUUCUUGUGUUUUGUUCUAAAACAUUCCGCUUUUAAUUUUACUUCCUAGUUUUUUUGUAGUUUUUAUAUUUAUUAGAUUUGCCAUACUGCCCAAUUGAGACACUAAAAUAUAAUUUUUUUGCAAAAUUCAGACACUAAAUUUAUAAUUAACCAUUUUCUAAAUAAACUUUAGAUGUGAAGCACUAAGAUUUUUCCUUUUUUUUUUUUAUUUCUUGUGUUUUGUUCUAAAACCUUACGCUUUUAAUUUUACUUCCUAGUUUUUUUUGUAGUUCUUAUAUUUAUUAGAUUUGCCAUACUGGCCUAUUUAUGCUCGUCAAAACAUUACAGUGGAAAUACUUAUUAAUAAAUGCUUAGGUCAAAUCUAUGGUCCUAUUUAUAGACUAAAUCAAUGAAAAUAAUAAUUUUUUAAAACUUACUUUUACUUUAUUUUUUUUUUUAGGAUAAAAGUACCUUUAUUUUGAAAAAAAUUUAUAUUUUCAUCAAUUUAAUGCAUAAGCAGAACAUAAAUUUGGUAUGGACAAAUCUAUUUCUAAAAUUGAAAUCUAACUUCUUUUUUUUAUGAUAAUGGAAUAAAAAAUCCGAGUAAUAGAAAGCGGUUCAAUUUGAUUAUUUCGAAUCGAAUAAGUAUUUUCCAUAUAAAAGUAAAAUAAAUUAUAUAUAUAUAUAUAUAUAUAUGAAAUCCAACGAUUAUCUCUGACCAUACAAUAGAUGAUUUAAUUUAAAAAGAUCUUAUCAAUUUAGUUCAAUAUUUUGGCCAAACCCAAAUAGUUUAAUAGUUUUACAUUGUAUACAUAUGGCCAUAAAUAUUUCUUUAUCUUUUUUAUUAGUUUUAUGUUCCACAUAUGACUGUUGGUGCUCUCAAUUGUUCAUGUGUUUUGUCACUUUCAUUUUAAUUUAUCAUCAUCUGUAACUAUUACCAAAUUAGUGUAUAUGUAUUUAUAAAUAAUAAAAUAUAUACUGUAUACCCUUACGAAGCGUAGGAGGCACCCAGUUGCUAAUAAUAUUAUAAGCAUUUAUUUUAUUUUUUAAAAUAUGAUUAGAAUCAUAGCCAAUUUGGUCAAUUAUUAUUAAAUUUAAAUUAUUGUUAAUCAGUCAAAAAUCAAUUUAAAAAUAUAAUAUUUCAAGUAUUUUGGUUAUAAUUUUUAACAUAAUUGAAAUAUUUAAAAUAUUAUUCUAACCAAUUAAAUUUACUAAAUAUUUUUAAUUAAUAAAUAUAUAUACCAACGAUAAAUGUUGAUUUUCACUUGCUCAUCAAACUCAUUAGUGAAUAAAUAAAGUUACCUAUAGUAAAUGCUUAUUUAUCUUUUUUUUUUUAAAUUCUAAGCUUGUAAUGAAUGUACAAAUUAUUAUUAUGCAUCACUAUAGCAUUAUCUUAAAAUAAAAAAUAUAUAUUUAUUGUGAAAUAUUUCACGAUAUACUUAUUUUUGUUACCGAAAUUUAAACUAUGUACGUAUCAUCACAUUUUAACAAUAUAUAUUUCAUUUGGAAUUUUUUAAUAUUUUGAGAUAGUGGAGAAAACUAAUUUUUUAAUUAAUUAUUUAAAUUGUAACACAAUAAUUACAAAUUUUAAUUGGAUUUUCAUCAUGCACUAAAGCUUGUAUGGAAAAUUAUAGGAUAACGUUUCUUUCUAUAAGUUUUUCAUAUCCAUAUUUGAUUUAUUUAGGAUUUAAUCAUUUUUUCAAUAUUUUUUCUAUUAUUUUUAUUUAAAAUAUUACAUAUACUAUCUAAUUCUGUGUAAAAAUAAAAUUAUAUAAUUAUAUCAUUUUUUAAAUAUUAUUUCUAUUAUUUUUAUUUAAAAUAUUACAUAUAUACUAUCUAAUUCUAUGUAAAAAAAUAAAAUUAUAUAAUUAUUAAUUAAUAAAAGAGUUAUAGAGUUUUAUGUUUUAUAUAUAAACUAGUUUUACACUAAAUAAAAUUCACGCGAUACGAUUUACGCCUAUUUUGACCCAAACCUUCUAAUUUCAUCAUACUUCGCUUUUUUGUUCUUCUUUUGUUCUUAUUGCCUUCUCUAAUUUCUAGGGUUUCACCAAAAAUUCAACCUCAUAACCGAAACAAACAAAUCCCACAAACCCAAAAUGGCUGAAGUCAUUAACAUGCCUCUUGAUUCUCUCGACCGUCGGGGCCGAGACCGCAAGGAGAAAUCCUCAACUGCCGACGACCCUCAGUCCUCGCCGCCACCUCCUCCUCCGCCUCCUCCUCCACAGAAUGCACCCCGACGACGGGACAGAGACUCCAGAGACAGAGAAUUCGAUAGGCCACCGAAUCGACGUGAUUACUACGAAAGGAAUCGGUCUCCUCCACCGAGGGAGAGGGAGAGAGAGUAUAAAAGGAGGAAUAGUUUGAGCCCUCCUCCGUUGCCUUACAGAGAUAGGAGGCAUUCGCCGCCUCCGAGGAGGUCCCCACCCUACAAGAGGUCGAGGAGAGAGGACGGAGGUUAUGAAGGGAGGAGAGGUAGCCCUAGAGGUGGAUUUGGACCUGGCGAUAGAAGGUGAGUGAGUUUAGUGUGAUAAAUUUUUAUUGGUUUAUUGGGUUUUUUUUUUUUUUUUUUUUUUUUUUGUUAUGAGGAAAUUUGAUAACUGUGUAGCUUGAUCACUGAUUUUUUCUAUGUGGCUUUUAUUUUUAAAUUGUCUGCUUAAUUAAGUAAUUUGGUCAAGAGCUUUGUAGCUCUUUCUGCUUUUCUUUUAUUGAGUCUGUCUUUUGGAUUUUUUUCCGAUAAAGUGCGAAUAUGCUACUAAUUGCUACACUAGAUUUAUUAAUUCCAUUGAGGUAACCUUUAGAUUUAGAGAGGAUUGCCAAGUUAACCUUAGAUUGAAAGAACCAUCAGUAUAAGGUAGAUGGUCGCAGGAAGAGUAUAUGAACUCUCUCUACAGAAUUGGUUAUACUCGGACCAAAUUUCACAUAGAAUUCUACAUUUUCCUGUUGGAGUUCGAAACUGAACUUAAAACUUAAAGAGAGUAUAAGUUGCUCAACACUUACGAAUUCUAACUACAAGCUUGUGAAGCUAUACAGUUAAUCCAAAUAUGAAAAUUUAUUUUUAACUGAAUUUUUUUAAUGAAAGCAAAUGAAAUGAAUUCCAUAUGGAUUUGUUCUAAACACUACCUUAACCGUAAAUUUUGCCAAAUUUAAAAUUUAGGACUUGCCUAUAAGAUGGAAAUAUGUGCUAUUGCAAUUUCUGGGGAUGAUUAAUGCAGUAUGUGGAAUUAUGAAGUAUACCUGUGUCGCUAAAUUUACAUGCUAUCUUUGCCAUAUGUCCAAAAGAAAGAAAUGUUUUACGGUUUCCAGCAUCAAAUUACCCACGUAUGAGUAAGAUAGGAAAGACCAUUGAAGAGCACACUGGAAAUUCUAUGUUCAUUCUGUUUAUCCAGUCAGUUUACUUUAACAUUUACCUAUCUGGUGUUGGAUUUAAGUUCUGAUCAGAUGUUUCAUGAGGUGUCUUUGAGAUAGAUUGGUUGCAAUUGAACUUUAACCUGAAUUUGACAUAUUUUCAUGGAUUAAUUUGAUUGUAAUAAUUCGUAUGAGCAUUUGACAGGUUGAUAUUGCAUUAUUUUGUCGGUGGUUGGAUUACACUUCAUUUUAAUAGUGUCAGUGCUGUUUUCUGUCAAUUUUUUGUAUUUCAUGCUACUUUUAGUUGAUGGCAUUGAAGUGCUAGUCAUUGUCCUGUUUUAGCUAUUUAUAGGACAUUUCCUUGCAUUACUCUAUUUAGUUAUUUUUUGUUUGGGCCUUUGUUGGCUUUCAAUUUUUUAUUUUUAAAUUGAGCCCUUCAAAAUUUGGUCAGUGUAGUAAAACAUGAUCUUUGAUGUGUAGGUUUGGAUAUGAUUAUGCUGGUGGAUAUGAACGUGAGAUGGGGGGUAGGCCUGGGUAUCCUGACGAUCGUCCUCAUGGUCGUUACAUGGGUCGUGGUGGUGGAUAUCAAAGUGGUCCCUCUGGUAAGUGCUCAAGUUCUUUGAGAUUUGUUGCAUUGAUAUGAUUUUGGUUUGUCGAAAAAGUUAGUAACGGAUCUGAAAGAAUGAGUUGAAUUUGAACCCCCAAUUCCAACUUUGAUUCUUGACACUCUGAUGUCAUCUUUAAUGUGUUGGAUGUUAGUAACUUUGGUUGUUUACAAGAUAUUACUACUUAUAUGAUUUGGAAGCUUCCCGGUAAUUUCGUUUUCUGCUAGAUGUUUUCUAUUUAAAUGAUCAAAGUAGGCACUAACAGUUGUAAAAUCAGGAUGACCAGUUUAUCCUUUCUUUCUUCAACAUAUUUUUUUAUUAACAAAGGACAGGCAAAUGAGAGCCAAGCUUGAUAUGCCAACAUGUGCAUGUGUCUUUAUGCUGGCCGAACCCUUCUGCAUUUUGCAAGUCCUACUAUCAUUUCAAUUCAUUGCUAAACAUGUUUUUCAUGCUUCAGUUCUGGCAUAAUCAUAAGCAUCUUUUGAGGCCCCCAUCCUUACCUGCAUGCACGCCCAGAGAGAAGAGAGAGUAUAAAUCAAGAAAUCAGUCUUUACAUUUAGCUUGUAUGGAAUGUGAGAAUCAUUAUAAACUGUGCAUUCUGAAGUGAUAUUGAUUUGCUUGACUGUCGAUUGUUUGAUGAGCCAGAUGGAAAUGCUUAGAUGAUAUAUUAGGACUCAAGAAGAUGCAUGCUCAUUGUGCUUUAGUUUGAAGUGGACUGUAUGGUACAACUUCUAAAGCCAAUGCAAGUUCUUGUCUUUUGUGAAGACAGGUCCCUGGAAUGCUUUUAGGAUCUGAUUUAGGAAAGCCUGUCUACGUCUCAAUACUUUUUUGGUAUCAUGUCCUCUUUUAUUUACUGAUGGUAUUUUAGUAAUAAUAAAUUGGUGGUGGCAUUCCUGUUGUUUUGGUGAAGUUAUAGAACCUCUGGUUAUUGAAUUACCUUGGUGGUUAUUUUGUUUUAUAAUUAUUGCUGCUGACAUUUAUGAAACGUUUGGAGACGGUAAAGUAGUGAACUCACAGUUCUGCUAAUAAUUGCUGGUUAUUGACCUCAUGGCGAUAGUUAUAACUGCUUGAUGGAGGUCCUUGGGUCCUUUGACUUAUCACUUUUCCACUAAUUUAACUUACCUGGACAUUUCUAAAUGUCGGAGCUGGGUUUGUUGAACUUGCCUUUUUUUCUAGUUGCCUGUUUCAAUUGGUUUUAAUUUACUUAUAAGAGUUUUAAUUUUCUUAUAAGUAUUAAUUUUAUAUUACAUUUAGUAUCUGAUUAAUUUAAUUCCUUUUUUACCUGGUUCGACUUGGUUAAAGUUUUGAUUGGUGGCCCUCUUCUUUGGCCAGUUGGAAGGCUAGGCUGUCUUAAAACCUUAAUUCGGGACAUAUGUUCUGCGUUUCAAAUAUUUGAGCCAGACAAUAGAGUUAAUGUAGCAAGUUCUCUGGUUGUCAGCAAAUUUCUAUGCUGAAUUUUGUAUUUUGGCUACGGCUUUCAUUUAAUCCCCUUUCUGUUAUUUGCUGAGGUAGAACUUACUGGAUUAUAUUACUGUUGCAGACUGGGAUUCUGGACGUGGUGGUUUUGUUGAUGCUUCCAACACAGUGACUGCUCAAAGGUUUGUAUUUAGAGUUCAUUCUUUCUAUUUACCUGAUAAUUUCAUAUUGUUUCAUCUUAUAAUUAGCUAUAUAUGUGGUUGGUGGAGGGCUGCAGAUUAUGUCUUAGCAUAAUCCAUUUGUUAUUGCCAUCUACCUUUCACAGCGAACCAUGCUUUCUUGAUAGUUAAAGUUUUGGAUGUGUGAACUAAUAACAUUAAUACAUACGGGCAUAGCGCAAAGUCAUAUAUGAGUAGUUAAUGACUUGGGAAGAUAUCCUAGCGAAAUUUUGAUAUUUGAAUAGGUUGAGCAGUACUAUUGAUCAGAACUUACAUGAUUACAUACAGUCCCUCUCUCUCUCUCGUUCAUGCAUAGGCAUUGCCAUCCUUUGUUAUGGCUUACAAUAAUACAAAGUGGCAUCCUUUGGUGUAGAAUUCGUUUUACUCUUCAAUUUGACAUGUAAGCUAAUCUUUUUUUCAGAGAAGGCUUGAUGUCAUACAAGCAGUUCAUUCAGGAGCUUGAAGAUGAUAUUCUACCAGCUGAAGCUGAGCGCAGGUACAAACUGUUGACUGUUUGGCACUUUAAAGUUAAAGACUCGAACUCAUGACUUGGAGUGUGAAAGUGAUCAUGGUCUUAUUUUUGCAGGUAUCAAGAAUAUAAGUCAGAGUACAUUUCAACUCAGAAACGGGUUUUUUUUGAGUCUCAUAAAGACGAGGAAUGGUAUCUCUCUUCUCAUGUGCGAUAUAUCUCUUUAUUUUUAACUUCAUUGGUCUAAUUGAAUUUUAUUGCAUGUAGGUUGAGAGACAAAUAUCAUCCAACCAAUUUGGUUGCAGUCAUAGAAAGGUAUGCUACUUAGAGAAUUCUUGGAUUUGUGUUUUCUACAGAUUUUCGUUUUUUAAACAGUCUGGAUGCAAUGUCAAUCACUUAAUUUCCAGAUUUAUCAUAAUUUGUUGGUGUGGACUAUAUUAUUCCUUGGAAUUCUUUGUAGGAGGAAUGAACUGGCGAGAAAGGUUGCCAAGGACUUUUUACUUGACUUGCAAAGUGGAACAUUGGACCUGUAAGUUGAACAGUUUUUUUCUGCAAUCAUGUUGACUCAAUUGAACCUGCAUGCAAACUAAUUGCUCUUUCAAUAUUCAACUUGUGUUUUCAUUCUUAAUGCCAGAGGUCCUGGUAUCAAUGUUCUAUCUUCAAACAAAUCAGGACAGACAAGUGAUCCAAAUUCUGAUGAUGAAGUAGACGCUGGUGGCAAAAGAAGACGGCAUGGCCGUGCGCCAGCAAAAGAAACUGAUCUUCUUUCAGCUGCUCCUAAGGCUCACCUAGUCAGUUCAGAACCCAGAAGAAUUCACAUUGAUGUGGACCAAGCUCAGGCCCUUGUACGCAAGCUCGACUCUGAAAAAGGAAUUGAAGAAAAUGUUUUAGGUGGAUCUGAUAAUGAAAAAAUGCAUAGGGAGAAAUCCCAUAGCAGCUCAAGUGGUCCUGUUAUUAUUAUUCGAGGCUUAACCUCUGUCAAGGGUCUGGAAGGCAUUGAACUAUUGGAUACACUUAUUACUUAUCUUUGGCGUGUACAUGGUUUGGAUUAUUAUGGAAUGAUUGAAACAGCUGAAGCUAAGGGUCUUAGGCAUGUGAGAGCAGAGGGAAAAAGUUCUGAUGCAACUAAUAGUGGGAAUGAGUGGGAAAAGAAACUGGACUCACGUUGGCAAGAAAGGUUGAGGGGUCAAGAUCCUUUGGAAAUAAUGACUGCUAAGGAAAAGAUAGACGCUGCUGCCGUUGAAUCAUUGGAUCCCUAUGUCCGGAAGAUUAGGGAUGAAAAAUAUGGAUGGAAGUAUGGUUGUGGAGCCAAGGGUUGCACAAAGCUCUUUCAUGCUGCCGAAUUUGUGCACAAGCAUCUCAAACUGAAGCACCCUGAGCUUGUGAUGGAGCUGACCUCCAAAGUGCGGGAAGAGCUGUAUUUCCAAAACUAUAUGAAGUACUGUCAUAUAACAUAACUUCUUCCUUUUAUCCUUAAUUGUCCUGAAUUUUGUAAUUUUUCUGAUAAAUGCAUUACUUCAAUUUCCAGUGAUCCAGAUGCACCUGGCGGCACACCCGUUAUGCAGCAGCCUUUACCGGUAUUGUCCAUCAAAUCCCAUACUACCCAUGAUCCACAUGGCUAUACACAACAUAUAUGGUUGUUAAUAAUUUUGGCUUUUGAAAGCUUGAAAUUCAGCUUCUGUUUCAUGCUGCUUCCUAUGUUGAGUAUAAGUUGGCAGGAUGGCACUUGCUGAAAUUAUUUAGCGGUCUGCAUAUACAAUAAAGUUCCUAGAUACAUUUACAGACCAUCUAAUUUGUUUUUCCCAGUCUAUUAUUACCUGUAGUAUGAAAAUGAAGUUAGGCAGUCUUGUACAAUAGUGCGGGGGUUGCCUAGCUUCAUGAACGUAUUUCCCUUUUCUUUCUCUUUUUUGGAAUUGAUACUUUUAUUACUUUGAUAUGAAAGAUUCAAAGUGAAGAUCCUUGAAGAUUUAAAGAUCAAUACAGCUUCUUUGGAUAUUGUGACUCUGAUUUAUCCACCAAAUAGUUGGAUGUGGAUGUCUCACAUAUGUUAGCUUGCUUACUCACUUCAUGAAGUUGUAUGUGUUGUAUUACUGAAUCAUAUAUAGAUGCCUUUGUCAGCCUAUUCGUCUGUACAAUAUCUUGUCUAUCUUCCAUGUACUGUGAGACUAGUGUUUCCUUAAAUGUUGAGCUACUUGGUUGCAUUCUGAUUCACUGCCCUAUACUCAUAAAGUGAGGAUCCAUUAUGGCAAUGUUGAAGACAUCAACUCAUGUGUUCACUUUUGUACUGUUGGUCUUCCUGAUGACAGUGUCAAAUGCUCUCAUUCCUUACCCGUUUGACUUGCAUUAAUUGAUCUUUUCUUUUCAGAAAGACAAGCCACAGAGACGUAAGAUAGGUCAAGAAAAUCGAUUGAAGGAUGAACGAGGUGGCCGUAGAGAUCGUGAAAACAGAGCAAAUGGCAGUGAAAGAUAUGAUAGGUCUGAAAACCAACAGUCAGGUGAUUUUCAAUCAAGUGAUGGGCCUGAUGCUGUCAACCAUGAUGAUCCUAUGUAUGACAGUUUUGGUGGUCAAGGCAUGCGUGUUCCACCUUUCCCUUCAGAUAUUCCUCCUCCACCAGUAUUGAUGCCUGUACCUGGUGCUGGGUAGGUUAAUGUGUUGCUACUAAAAAUAUUGGUUUUAAUGGCAAUACUACAGGUUCUUAAUUUUCGUGGCUUUUAUUAAUGGAAAUAUGUUGUUCUAACAGUCCACUAGGGCCUUUUGUCCCCGCUCCUCCUGAAGUUGCAAUGCGGAUGUUCAGAGAGCAGGGUGGUCCUGCUCCAUUUGAAGGUGGUGGCAGAAAUGGAAGGCCUGGGCCCCAGAUAAGCGGACCUGCCCCCAUUCUUCUAUCUCCAGCCUUUCGACAGGAUCCUCGUCGAAUCCGCAGGUAAUUUCUUUUUGUAUCUUUUCCAUGAACAUUCACUUUCAUUUGUGUGUGUGCACUUGUGUAUAUGAGCUGUUCAUUUGGUGUUUCUUGUUGUGUAUGGAUGUUUGAGGGAGAACAGGAGAGAGAAAUGCCCAGUCCAAAGACAAAUAAAGCAGGGCAAAUUAUAAUCCUGUCCCUGUAUUUUGCCAAAAAUAGCUACUUUGCCCGUCUUUGUAAAAAUAAACUAAUUUAUCCUCAUAUUUUGCUCCUAUUAAACGGUUUCCCUUCCGUCCACAAUUUUGGAUUUUAGACUAUAUGUCAAAUUAAAGGAAGACGGUCAGAUGAGAUGGAAGAAAUUAAAAAUCCCAAAAUAUUCAUGACACCCAUUUCCAUCCCCUCCCUCUCUCUUUGUCUCUCUUCAUGUCUCUCCAUCUCCACUCUUCCUUCUGUCUCCAUUUCCUUUCCAAACCAAGCAAAUUCUCUACCUUUACGAACUCAUAACCUAGCUCACCAAUUAAUCUUGUGUCUUUUUCCUUAAAUUCUACAAAUCAAUACCCCAUCUCAAAAAAAUUCAUGUCUAGAUUUUUCAUUUGGGUAUCCACCAAAAUACCCAAUGGAAAUCUGACAUAGAAAGCCAUCAAUAACCUAUCCUUUGCAAAAGAAAUAUGAUAUGUGGUAUUGGAUUGCAAUGACUGAGACAGGAAAUGAUGCAGCGGCUUGUGGUGGAGGUGGCUGUUGGUGGUUUGACGAGAGGAGGAUGAAUGUUUUAUGAGAGGUGGCUGCUUGUGGUGGAGAGUUUCAGAAAGAUGAAGAGAAGUGGAUGAGAUUUGUAUAGAGAAAAAAUGAAUGCUUGGAAAAUAGAAGUGGAGAGAGAGCGUGGAGUUUGUGAUUGUGAAGGGAAAUAUGAGGAUUUAGAGGAAGAGGAAAAAGAAAAAUAAGAGGAAGGAUAAUUGUGAAUCUAUACAAGGUUAUUUCUGUGAUUUCAUAUGCACUUAACGUUUAAGACCCAAAAUUUUGGAUUGAAGGACAACAUUGGAAUGGUAGCGAAAUGUGAGGAUAAAGCAGCUUAUUUUUUAAAAUGGCGGACAAAAUAGUUUUUACAAAAUACAUGAAUAAGAUUAUAAUUUUCCCAAUAAAUAUUAUUGUUCCGCUAAACCGAUUUAUACUGCUUUAGCUUAUUCUCAAGGCAUGUUUAGUAAAGAUAUAGAAUCAAUUUAAAGUGGGGUGAAAUUAAAUAAAUGAUGCGGAUUUCAUUACAAAAAAGUAAUUGUUGAAGUCGAUGUUGAUUAUGGCAUGAAUAACUUUGUGGCAUUUGUUGUAUUAAUUCCCCUGGUUAUGAUUUGAACUCUUUCGAGUAUUGAAUUUUUUCAGCUAUCAAGACUUAGAUGCACCAGAGGAUGAAGUCACUGUUAUAGACUACAGGAGUUUGUAGGUGCCACUAUUUGGAAGAGAUUAAAAUUUCAAAGCUGCAAUUUUUUGUUCUGAAGGGAGGCACUCUUGUCUAGUCAGCGUUCAGCGCUCCCGACGUUUAUUGGUUUAAGUUAAUCCAACUGUAGAAGCAAUCAUCCUUUUGAGGUUUUCACUGCUCGUUGGGUGCUGACGGCUUUUUAUUGCUAGUGGAUAUCAGUGCAAAUUGUGUUUAGUGAUGCCAAGUGCUCUUCAUUUUUUUCACCCCCUCCUUUUACCUUGAAUCUUACUCUUUAAGCAUAUAGGGGUGGGAAUAUACAAUCUUAGAAAAAUUUGUACCUGUAAAAUGGACUUCUAUGGAAAACAGAUUUCAGAUAGCUGUCCAUUUGUUUUUUUUUUUUUUUUUUCUUUUAACUUUUAGACUUACAAUACUGAGUAGCCUUAUUCUUUGUUGAUAAUAAAGAAAAAGAAAAAAAAAAAAAAGAUUGGAACAUUUGCGAAUGAUACUCUCUUGGAGUUUGAUUGUAAAAUUGGUUUCUUUAUUAUCAGCAGUCUCGAGUAUAACAGUGGCAGUCAAAACUUUAAUUAGGGAUUAAUAUUAUUUCGUAAAAGUAGAGUUCUAAAAUUGAAUCAACACAAGCAUGUGCCCUCGCUGUUUACAAUUUAUUACGUUUCUUUGUUGGUGACAUUUUUGUCAUGGAUGGUACUGAUGAGGUAAAAUAGUGAAUCCUGUGUGGAGUGCCCCAUGGAAAAUAGGCCAUACGUUUAGGCCAUAAUUGCAUCAAUCUCACUGUUUGACGUAAAUGGAAAUGACAUUUAAGAUAUAAUUUUAUAUCAAGAAAAAUGGUCUAUUAUAGAAGAAAAAUAGUAUUUUAUGCGAAGAAACAGAUACGGAGAAAAGCUAAAGAAACACGAAAACGCCAUUGCUAGGAGUUUCCAUGCAUCAUAGAUCUCUGGUGAACAUGCAACAAAAGCAGACCCAGGAGCUACCGGAGCUUUAUAAUGGCUUUCCCUAAAAAUAUUGAUCAGAUCAGACGGAAUGCCUCCCUAACAAAAGAGCAUGGAAAGUUCACUGGAAAAGCCUUCAAACCUAACCUGUCUCACAAUCUUGACUUCCAAAAGGUGCUCUUGCGAUAUGCAAAAGUGAACUAAAGUUCAGAACGUCACGGCUAUGUUAGACUCAGAUCACAUCCAGAAUUUACUUCUUGACAAAUGUUAAAGAAAAAUAUUUAACAAGGCACAUUACAAAGAAAGACUAGAUCAAAAACCUUAACUUGAUGCCUUUGAUUUUUGAAUUUGCAACACUACAUGUACAAAUAUGUUACACAAGUUUACACAGGGUUAUUGAGUGGAUGGUAACUUUGGGUGGGGGAGGAAGAUCGGAGGCACAAAUAGAAAAAUGCUAGCCAGAUCAAAAGCCCCAUGAAGAGGGAGGAUUGGUGGGGGUUCCCGAGUCAUUGGGAGAAAUGACAGAAUUUCGAGGACAGCAACAGAGACAAUGACAGAAUUUGGUUAACAAACAUUUGCUAUCCAUCUAUGCAAACUGAUUGCACCUGGGGGAACAAAACGGGCAACAAAUUCGAUGCCUUUACUUCCUCGGCUUCUUUGAUAGAGGCUCUGGCUGGGGCUCAGCCUGCGCAUAAAAGUUUCAAUUGAUCAGAAUAAAAUUUUAAAUAAGGGUUGAAUUGAGAGGAGAACCCAGUUUUCUUGCAAAAAGAAUAGAAGAUACCCCUUAUAGAUCUGAUAUACUCGAUUCAUUAUUAUCUUUACAUUUUUCAUUACUAUCUUCACAAAAAUGAAAUGUCAAGCGCAUGGUCCUCAACAACAGAUAUAGAACAUGUCAAUAGAAGAAAAUUGUAAAGCAAAUAUCAAGACAUUUCUGAAGGAUCAAGUAAUCAACUAGUAUUCCACCAAUUUAAUGAGCACCUUAUAAAUUCCCGAUGGAGAUGGCUUAUUAUUAAUAGAAUUCAGCCCCUUCAAAUUAUUUAGUGGACUUAAAAAAUAUCUUUGCUUGUGAUGCAAUGAUAUUUAAGUUGUAGAAGUGAUCCGGCCUUGUUUAUUGCACUUCUAUCAGUCAAUGGACAUUUUCUUAAUUUGUUGUAUUCCUCUCAAUUAAUAGUUCAAAGCAAAUUGACUCAAAAUCAUCCCAACUGCCAUUACCAAAAGAGUUUGAUAUUAAGCAAACCACAAAGAGCAUGAAGCAGUCCACUAUGCCAGAAUCAAACAGGACGAAAUUCAGCAUUACUAACUAGAGAUUUUCAGAGUCUAAAAAUGAGUGCAGUUUCCACCAAAAAAGAGAAAAAAACGCCAUAUUUAUAUAAGGAAAAAAAAAAGGAUCAUUUCAGUUCAUGAAGCAAAGUCACAUAAUCAUAAUAAUAUAUUUAAUUUAAUAAUAUAUUCAAAUAUAAAAGUAAUAUAAUUAAUAAUAAAUAAAUUAAUAAUAAUAAUUAAUAAUAAUAAUUAAUUAAUUAAUUAAUAAGAGAAGGAAGAGAAUGCUCACAACAUUUGAGAGCUGCUCGCGGAUGUAGGCCAUUGAUCUCAGCAUGGCACCUAAUGUAUCUCUAGACACCUGAAAUUUGACAUCUGACUCUCCUGAAGUUGUUUCAGUAUCUUGCAACUGAAACCAGCAGAAGAAAGGAUAAAUUAAAUGGUGGACAAUAAAUUGACAACACAAUAAUCGCUGUGAUAAACUAAACGAGGCCACAAAGUCUAAGACAACAUGAUAAUCACUGUGAUCAUGACUAGACAGUAUAUUGAAUGAAGAUGUAUUUCCAUGUAAAUCCUAUAUAAUUCCAUGCUUCAUUUACCAUAAGAAAGUGGACUGCCAGAUGAAUAAUAUAUUGAAAUAUCAAGGAAAAUAAGUCCUAAAAAAAAGCAGAGUGCUAUUUAAUAAGGGAUCCCAAAAUUAAAAAAAUGUACAUUUAUUUCCAAAAGAGCUUUUAAUUUUCAAAAGAUACCAAUUUUUGUCAGUUACAUUUUGUGCAGCUUCUAGUGGGGUCUAUCACUUUGUACUCCCAUAAGAUAGCUUUAAUUUUCCAUUUUCUGGAUAAAGAAAUACAAUACCAUUUAAGCUUGAUCAUGAUAGAUGACCAUUCAAUUUGCAAUCAUAACCUUGACAAUCCUCCUUGCACAUGAUAAACCAUCCCAUCUCAUAGCAUAUAAUACACAAGAUGUAAAACAGCACUAUCUAUUUCGUCGAUGAAAUCAUAUCUGGCUUGGGCAGUAUUUAUAUCUACAUGGUGUAGGAAAGCUUGAGAAGUUGAACUUUUGCGAAAUUGGAUUUGUAGAAAUCGAAGGGCAUAAAAGUUAGUAUGGCAGAUCUGAAUUUCUUUAUAGAAUUAUGAGCAUCAUAUUGAUAGGAUCUAGGACUAAUCCUAUUAACUAUCAAGAAAUAAAUCAUAGCUGGCUGGAAUUUACUGGCUUUACUGAAAAUUAAGCCUUACAAGAAAGCAUGAGUAUUUAUAGACACCAAAGAAAUCCUAAAGCUUGAAGGUAGAGGAAUACUGAAAGUGGCCGUUAUUCUUCAAGGAGUUGGAACUCUUAAAGAAGAGUAAGACAAAUAAUUUUAUCCUCAAGCAACAAGGAACUAAGAUUCUAAAAAUAGAACUAACAAUUCCCAAUCAGGACAGUUUUCCAGCAAAGUUGGACAUUAAAAAAGUUGCUUUUUUACUUAAAUUAUUUGCCCACAACUAGUUUACUUACUACAUAUAUAAAAAAGAUUCUAAUAGGCUAGAAAUAUACCAUAAUAUCUGAAAAUCAACAAUAAUUAAGUCUUAAUUCCAAGUUAGUUGGAGACAUCAAUAUGAAUCAUUUGCUUUUAUUCCACUCCAUUUAUGGCUAAAUCCAAACUAAUGCCAAGAAACAGUGACCUUUUUGAGACAUAUUAUCUCUAUGUAGUUUUUCCCUUUUAACAUCUUCCAUAAUCAAGGUACUGCACUUCCAAAACAGGCACGUUGAGGUCUAGGUAGGACAUGACCAAACCACUUUAAUGACCUUCUCUCAUUCUAGCCCAUUCUUUGUUGCUUGCACCUUUUGUCAUAUCAAUUCUAAUCUCAUACAAUCUUGUAUGAUUAUUGAUCAAUUUUAACAUCAUUUCUACAACAUUCAUCUUGUGAAUAUGAUAGAUCUUGGUAACCCAACAUUCACUCUCAUAUAACAUUGCUGGUCACACAGUCAUUUUAUAGAACUUGACUUUGACUUUGUUAAAUAUCUUUUUGUUGCAUAGCACACCUCGUAGCACUCCUCCAUUUCAUUCGUCUUAUCUUAAUCCUAUGGGUCACAUCUACAUUUAUCACUAUAUCCUUUUCGAAAACAGAGCUUAGGUAUAUGAAUUGAUUGUGCUUAGACACCACAACAUCAUGCUACCUAACUCACCUCUAUUAAAAUCACAAUGCAUGUUUUUUGUCUUCUACUUAACCUAAAACCCUUUCAAGAGGUCUUUGCCGUAAUUUCUUUUACUUGACUAAAAACAAAAUCGUCUACAAAUAACAUACACCAUGGAAUAUCAUCCCAUAUACUACUCAUUAGUUCAUCCAUAACUAGAAUAAGUACAAAGGAAAAUCCUUGAUGUAAACCCAUAAUUAAAGGGAACCUCUCCUUGAUGCAAAUCCUAGACAAAAUUUGGAACAUAGUUCUAAAAUUAUAUAUUGAUUUUCUUGAUUUCCCUAAUUCGAAUAGCUAUAUAGUAUACAAUUAAUUUAAACAAAAGUUUAAAGAGAAACUAACCAAAACUAUGAUAUCCCCAACAAAGAAGCUAUCCAAAAGAAAACUAACUAAAAAUAAUUUUUAUUCCUGAAACUUAACCAAACUAAUUCAUCCUACAAAAAUAUAUCCAAAUUCAUACAUGGUAUCCUCUAUAAGCUGUUAAAAAAGAAACUAAUCAAAUCUUGGGAGUCCUUUGAACAUUAUAACUUUUUAUGACCAAAAUGUCUAUUUUUAAAUUUUGGGCAGCUGUAUUUGAAUAAGACCCUAUUUUGAAAUUUUUCCCAAACAAUAAUAGCCAAUAAAGGAAGAAUUAGGCUAAUCCGUAGUACCAUAAGCAAGGAGAUUAAGCCAAAAAUAUGCAAAGAACAAGGAAAAACACGCAUGGCCCAAUGUGUGAUUGUGUAGGAAUGUUCACAAUAUCUUUUAUGCCAUCAUAAACUGAGAGCUCUCAACUAAAACAUGAAACCUUUAAAAUAAAAUCCAUAUCAAUAGAGAGAAAAUGAGGAGUGAGGGGGUCUCAAACCAAGGCAAGGUAGAUUUCCUUGUCGCAAAGUGAAAAAUGUUGCUCCUACUAAUGCAUUCAAAGUAACCAUUGCAAUGCUAGUUAACAAUACAAAAUUUACUUGACCUCAAGUCGAUUCCAAAGAGUUCUUUAUCAUAAUUCUAGGUGCACUCAUUCAUUUAUCUCUACCAUCUCUCUUUGGCUCCUCUUAUCCUAUAAUUUGAUUUGUAUGUUAUUUUUGCACUCAUUAGGUUCUCUUUCAUUUUCUAUUUAGUACACGAUCUGGAUUGAAAUUUAUAUAAAUACAAUAUUUGCAAUCAGAUUUCUAGUAUCUUUUAAUAAAUUGAUGGGAAAUAUAUCCAUAAAUGUAUGAGUAUUACUUUUAAUUAAUUUUGAAAAAAUACAAUGAAUCUAACAAUAUUCUCGAUUCGCGGUUCUAAAAUAAAGAAUUUCAAUUCUUGAUUUGACAACUAUGCAUAUUUGAAACAGAACUCUGAAUCAGCUGUGUAAAACAAGGAUCAUUCUCUGUAUUCCUUAUAUUAGGAUUAUUCAGUGACUUACAUAAUGAAGGCAAGCAAUACUAUGGCUUCUUCAAUUGAACACGAAGCAGUUAUGAAAUAAAUUCACAAGGAAAUUAUGAUUUCAUACAAUGUUUGAAUUGAAUUAUACAUUAAGAUCAAUAAAUUUAAUUCAUAAUAGACAGUUUAUUACUGUAAAACAAAAAAUCACUAUUUUGCUAAGUAUUCAAUUUUUAACGAAGAGUCCGGUUCUAAUUAGUGUUUAAGCAAUGGAGAGGAGUAAAUUCAUUAAAUUCAUAGUAUGCUAUAUUCCUCACCAAGCCUAGGCUAGGUGAUCUGAGUCCAGCUCAAACUUAAGUCAGGCUCACAAAAAUGCCAGAUGCAGCCCCCAUAAAUUUCAGAAGGAGCAGAAAACACAGCUCUUUCUAGUUAGAACCAUAUUAGCAAGGCAUAUGGACAUCUCUAACAGUUAAAUUUAAUAAAAUGGAAGCCUUAAUUGCAUUAUUCUCUCUGGAAGAGCUUCCAAAUAUCCUAUUAUUGACUCUCAUAGGUGCAUAAUCCCAGUUUUUCUGAAACAUAAGUCUAAAAUUUGGACAGACUUACCUUUAAAUUAAUGACAGCAACCCUGUUAGCUGGUGUAGAAAGCUGCUCACUAAUAUACGCCAUAGAUCUCAACAUGGGCUCGAGCGUAACUCUUGAUAGUUGAAACUUAACCUCUAAUUCUGUUGAAGGAUUCUUGUUGUAAUCUUGCAACUGUAGCAGGUAUAAACAAAAUAUAAAUAUGAGCAAAACCCAAACCAGGUUUGAAAUAUCUAAAUAGAGAAUAGUAGAAGGUAUCAACUUAAUAGAUGUAGGACAGGUUCAGUUAUUUGCCUAACAAUUAUGUUUGGUUUGCAAAUUUCAAAGUAAUUAACAAAUCUAAUGGCCAGGAUUAAAAAGGACGUCCACUUUCAGAAGACUGCAUUACAGCUGUUGAGAAGAGAAUUAGGUGGCUGAUGAAGCUGUCUUCAGUAACUCAGCAGACAGCCUAUGUAAGAAAGAAGCAGAAGAAAAGGAAGAUGAUAGACAAGGAGAGAAAGACGGAAAGCAUACUAGCCACACUAAACCCUGAAAUACUCAUAGUAAACCUGUACUUCAUUAAGUAAUGUAGAAAUUUAUAGGACUGCUGCAAAUUCUAAAUAAGAAAAUGUCCAAUAAUAACUAGGAAGCAAACAACCAUAACAAAAAGAAAAAUCCUCAGAAGGAUUUAAACACCAGAAUUCUAAACAUUACUAAAAUCAUGAAUUUCCUAAAUAGCAAGAUCUUAAAUAGAAGUUACAUUAUACUCCUAUCUCUGAAGGGUGCAUUUAUGGGGUCCUAAGGAUGCAUUUGGCAUGUGCUUAAAGUAUUGAGGCAAAAAAGUCAUAGAAGCAAAAGAUAAGUGUAUGACAGCCAUUUAUAGAUGGAAGUCAGAGUGCGGCUUGUAUUAUAAACAAUAAAUACUUUAAAUUGCUUGUAUUGUGAUAGCAAUGGAGACUUAUUCCUGAAACUUGCUCUGGAGGGUGAGGGGUGGUGGUGCAUAUAUGUGAAGGCAUAAGGAAUUUUCGCUCUUUAGUUCUUGACCUCCAAUUCCACUCUCUUUAAGGGAACAAGUUAACAUUUUGAGGGUGGUGGCAGGGUUACCUUAUAAGAAAAAUCUAAACUAUUAAACUUAAGAAUCAAAUCAAACUAGCUUCUAGUUUCUGUUUUGUGGUUACAGAGGUUUGAUAAUUAAAUUACUUCUUCAAAUAAUUUUAAUGCAUUUAAAAAGGUGACAUGCAGACAAUGGCAUUUGGAUUGCUGAUUGUCAGGCAAACCACUUCCUGAUUUGAGAUGCUUGAUACAGUUUCAAGUUAUAACUCAAUAAGUGUACCUUCAAGUUGAUGACAGCAACUCUGUUCCCUGAUGUUGAAUUCUUAUUCUCCAUCACCCAAGUCAUCGAUUUGAGACAAGGAAGAACUGCCUGCGUAAAAGGAACAUAUAAAUGUGCCAAAUCAACUACUUCCCUCAUUUUAGAACCAUCAUAAGUAUUUUAAAGAAAAAGACUUAAUAGAAAGCUUUAAUUUGCCAGGUCAACAUAAUUUUCCUUGAUUUUAUUAUAUAUUAAAGAACCCACAGAGACCCGAUGUACAUACGAUGUUUCCAGGAGCACCUUCAUCCCUCUGAAGGGACACAGGGGCCAUGCGGGGAAGAUUCAGAUCAGCAACAGAUUGAGCUGGAGCACCAGCGUCAUUUAGAUUAAAUCGCCGAGUAACUUCAUCUUGCCUUGGCCACAACAAUGGGGUUGUAUCUGAUGCUGAUGUAGAGCUUUUCCUGUCAUCGUAACCAAUCCCACCAGCCUGCGAGCUGGGAGGAGGAACUUUGGCAACAUUUUUCUUUGCAGCAGCAAUUCUCUUCACACCUUCUCUAAGAGCACUCAUUGCAACAUUGUAAGUAUCCACAGCUAUUGCCCCUUCCUCUGCAUAUUUGAUGGCUUCCCUACACAAAUUGUUGUACCGCAAUGCGAGAGACUCUUGUCCAUGUAAUUCACCACCACGUUCAUCUACUCCAACACCAGUUUUGGCAUUUCUCGUCCAUCUUUUUAAGAUGUAGUGAGAUGGCAAUGUAAGUACAUUUGUCACUGUGAAGACUGUCAAAACGUGCCUACAUAGAAUGCCUGAAUACUCAAACAUUUGACAGCUACAGUUUGCUUUCAUUUCUGGAUAGUUCAAUGUAACAAUAUAUGCUUUAUGGUCAUCCUCAAAUUUUGCAACCCUGAAUGUGCUGAUAUUCCCAUCACCCUCAAUUUUAUUAGCAGUAUAGACAAAAGUUUCAACUAACUCUUCUUGAAAUUUUGCAAAUAUUUUCCUUGUGUACAUACUUGCUGCUUGUUUUUCCAUUGGAGAUGGUGUCCUCAGAACUGGUGUAGUGCAAAUUGUAUCAAAAUCUGCUUCUAACUCUCUUUCAAAACAAUUUUCUAGAGCUCUUUCAUAUUGUCUGAAGAACAAUGGUAAUGUUGUUUGUUGGUUCACAUAGCCAUCAAAAAAGGAGCCAUCAAACCCUUGAUUUGGAGAUAUAGCAGCAAAAAAGGAAUCUCGAAAAUAUACUGGGACCCAUUGAGCACGAGCAUUAUACAAUAAUUGCAGCCAAUCAUGUCCACUCAGAUCAUAUUUAUCAAGGAUAGAACUCCAAGAUGAAUCAAACUCCUCAAUAGUCUCAGUUAAGUUGAUACAGUUGUACAAUUCCACCUGAAAAUUAGGAUGUGCAUGACACACAUGAGCCAAUUUUUCUUGGCCUUCUCUUAAGACAUGCCAUUUGCUAAUACAGUGUCGGGACUCAGGAAACACCUGAGACACUGCUAGCUGAAUGGCCAUGUCUUGAUCAGUGAUAAUAGAAACAGGCUGCCGAUCAUUCAUUGCUGUGAGAAAUGUCUUGAAAAGCCAAACAAAAGAAGCCUCAGAAUCAUCUAGAAGUAUUGCACAGCCAAAUAAAAUUGUUUGACCAUGAUGGUUAACACCAGUAAAUGGAGCAAAUGGCACUCUAUACUGAUUUACUCUGUAAUUUGUAUCCAAUGUAACUGCAUCCCCAAAAUGGUUGUAAGCUGUCCUCGACCUUGCAUCUGCCCAAAAAACAUUGGCCAUGCGAUUAUCUUCAUCAAGUUGUAUUGCAUAAAAGAAACCAGGGUUUUCAGCCUGCAUUUUCUUGAAAUAUUCUAACAGAUUCUGAGCAUCCCUCCCUAGUGUCCUUUUUCGAAAAUUGGGCCUAACGGUGUAAUUUAAUGGGAAAGCAUUCUUACUUACACGAUUUGCUUCUGCAGCAGGAGAAUUCCUAAGACCACGAUUAGCCUCUGCAGGUGCAUGGUUUCCAUCCAUGGAAACAGACAUUACCCCACUAGGUACAAUUCCCCCUCCUUGGUAAGUUUCAGCGAUGCCUUUUGUAGCACCAGCAAAAUGCCUGCGGGGUCUAAGGUAAUGCACUUUGCUGGGACUCACCAUAGAAUGGCUAUGCUCCUUUAUGAAUUUUGUUACAACCCAUUUGUUUUGACCCUUAAGCUCUACCCUAAGCAUUGCAUCACAACUAUCUGCAGACCUCCUUUUCAAACCCUCUCUGCCACAUGCAAACUCACGAACAUUGAUCCCAUCAGUUUUAGUACGGUUAAAAUGAACAACUUUGGAGCUAAAACCUAGUCGUCUCGCAUACUCAUCAUAGAAAGUUUUUACAACAUCCUCAGAAUGAAAUUCCAUACCCACAUAUGGCUCGGGCACUACAUCUUCAUCAUGUGCCGAAGAAUGCUCCGCAUUAUUUACUUCUCCACCCUCAAUGGGUUCAGCAUCACCAUCAUAGGCCAUUACACGGUGACCCAUCCCCUCCUCUUCAUCAAUCACAUGAACAUCCAUAGCAACCCACCACUCAAACCAAAUUCUUAGGGACAACUACGUUGCACAGUUUGCAUGUUAAUUCUCUAUUUAAGUGGGAAUUAUGCAGGCCGUAGCGGAAUUUAACAACAAAACGGCUGAUUCAACACACUUGGCAUUCAAAAAGAAGAGAAAGAAACAUAGUCAGCAAGAAAUCUUAAAAGAAAAAAUUAAAAUGAGUUUUGAGACACAGUUUGACUGAAAAAGGAACAAAUGAAUUACUACAGAGAAAUUUCCCACUGAUUCUAGAUAAUCAAAUAUUAUAAACCGAACAGCCAAAUAUAUUGCAGGGUUUUACACUUCACAGCCCCUACAAACAGAACAUGUAAAUAAACAUACAAACUAAUAGAGGUAAGUCUUUCAUAAGUCCACAUAAAAUCAACCAAAGAAAGCACUCAACUCAGACAAUGUGUGCAGCAAUAAAAAACAUGCAGCAACAAGAACACAAAAAAAGAAGAGGAACAAAAACAAGAAGCACAUCAAUUGUAAAUUAAUCAAAACAAUGAAGCUUAACAAAUUGAGACCCAAUUAAAGAUUGAGCUGUCCAAUAAAACCCAUUUAAGUAAAACUCAAAAUCAUUUCUAGAGGGAGAAAGAGAAACAGUGAUCUUCAAAACAUGCAGAAAUGAAAACAGGCGCGAGAGUAACGAGAGAGUACCUAGAAUUGGAAUUGUGCGAAAUUCGUAAAAGAAAGGACAGGUUACGUGAAAAGGGAGAGAGAAUUUAGGGGGAAAAUAGAAGUGAGAGUAGCAGUAAAGGUAGGUUUUUUAUUAAAUUUUUGAUUUUUUAGGAGAUAGAGAGUGAAACUGGAACCCUAACUUUACCUGUUCACUUUUUAAAAUUUUACGAGGAUUAUUUCGAAAACAAAUAUUACGAAGACACCCAAAACCUGUUGGAGAUUUUUCAUUUUGACCUGACACUAUCGGGUCCGGUCCAAAAGUCAAACCGGUUGAGACCGAGUGUCCUUAACUAGGCAUCCCCGGUUCAAUGAACCGCGGUUCCAACUUAUGGAACCGGCUGUUUAAGAUUUUUAAAAUAUUGAGCCUAAAUUGGCUCUUGAAUUACCGGUUUCGAUCCGAUUUCGAUUUCGACCGACUUCAAUGAACUGAUAGUUUUAAUCACGGUUUACGACAAUUUGUGUAUUAAUUUCUUCUAAAACAUAAAAAUUUGAUUACAAGGCAUAUUUCUUUUCAAAAAAUUAAUGUGAAUUUAAAAAUAUAUAUUGGUAAAUUUAUUUUAAAUAACUCUUAGAAUGUUCAUACUCAUAUACGCAAUAAAAUUAAUUAAUUUUAUAAAAUAAUCAAAUAAAUUAUCAUUAAGUUUUGUCUAAAUGUUAUUAAUUAAAUAAAUUAUUAAAAAAAAUUAAAAAUGCUUCAAACAGUGAAAUUUUGAACUAAGUAAAAUAUUUAACAAGAAAAAAAAAUGUUAAACUCUCAUUUGUAUUAAACAAUAUAAGUAUAUACUAAAAUUGAAACAACCCGGAAUUUUAUUUUCAAAAAUUUUUUAUUUAAAAAUUUAAUUAGUAAUUCUAAACCAAUGAUAUUGUGGGAUACUAUAUUAUUUAAAAUUAAAUAAAUUUAAUAUCCUACGAAUUUAUUUAGCAAAAUUAAAUGUAAAUAUAUUUUUAUAGAUAACCAAACCUAAAAACUAAAUCAAACCCAAUAGAAACCCAAAAAAAGAAAAAUUCAAGCAAAACCCGAAAUUGAGCCAAAUCCUCCCUGAAUCGGACCAAACCAUCCCAUAAUUAGAAGUGUCUAGAAGUGCAAAAAUCUCAUGAGGUCCUAACCCCCUUCUCUCCUUCCCGUUAACACCGACCCCAGCAGCUCUCCCCUCCCCUUGGUCUCGUUUUUCCAACGACGCUAGCCUUCAACCGAUGGGCGCAAUCUCUUCCUCUGCUAAGCAACAGCUCUGAUCACUGCGUCCCUUAUCUCCAGCUUGCUAGUCUUAGCGCAAAGAUGAGAGAGAUAGACCCCAAUUUGGUAUCACUGGCCAACCUCGAACAAUUUUCGACUACUCUUCGAUUAGAAAGUAUAUUCUUCUUUGUCCCGGCUAAAAUUCUGUUUCCUUCACCGCAUAACUAUAAAAGUAAUUUUUUAAUUCCAGUAAUUAUUUAAAUUGUGAGCAUUAUGUGUAAAAACUUAUUUAUUAUUGUCUGAUAUUGAACCCUGCAGUUGUAGGGCUAUGAUAAUUCAUAUUAUAGGAUCAUGAUAAAUUCAAUUAUGUACGAAUGCAGUCAUGUUAACGGAUAACUAUAGGUUGAUGAUUUAGAGAACUACAUGUGCAUAUACGGACUAUUAGCCCAUAUCAUAGAUAAUGUGUAAUGAAUUGAGCCCAAGUUAUGAAAUAUUUGAAAUAGUGAAUUUGGGCCAAGAUAUAGUAUAAUCAUAAGAUUUUUUAUAUAAAAUAAUAUGAGCUUAUUGUUCUUGUGAUCUAAUGUAAUGUGAUUGAAUUUAGUGAUUCAAGCUUACUACGGGUCUUGAGAGCCUUAUGCUCACCUAGGCCCUUGUGCCAAUUCGGUCUAUGAUUUCGGGUUGUGACAAAAAGUUAUAAAAUAUGUUAAGUGAUUAUAAUUUUUAAAAAAAAAAUUUCAGUUCGAACCGGAGCGGAACCCCCAAUUUAGGUUCAAAAUUUAACAUUCAUCUAAACUUUAAAUCACCCUUGAACCGUCAAUUUCGAUUCGUCUACAGUAUGGUUCGAUUUCAAUUCAGUCUGAACCGGUGGCCAUAAUUGUCCAUAACCUUUUUUUUUUUUGCAAAUCUAGCCGAAUUUUGAAAAAGAGAAAUAUAAAUAAGAAAGGAAACUAUAGCUUUGAAAAAUAAGUAAAUGAAGACUAUGAAGUAAAUAAUUAAUUUUUAUUUUUCAGUGAAAAAUUUUAAAUAAAUAUAGUUAAUUAUAUAAAAAUUAUUAAUUUAAUUUUUAACUAAAAAACUUUUCCGCUUAAAUAUUAAAAUAUAUAAAGUUAAAAGAAAGUUGAAAUAGGAAAAUAUAAUUAACUCAUAAUUUUAUGAAAACAUAGUCAGAAUUAAAAUUAAUGCAAGGAAAAAUAAUUAUUUCAUUUAUAAGAUUUGACACAAUUAGUUAAACGGUAUUUACCUUUUAUGUAAAAUUUAACACAUACUUGCUCAUUUUUCUAAAAGUCAAUCGCACUUUUUACUGAAUUUUGACCGUUAAAAUUGGCUGAAUCUUGAAUGGGAAGUGAGGGGCUUAUUGUAAAUGACAUUAGAUACUCUUAUUGAAAUUAGAUAAAUAGAACUCUUAGAGAAAAAUUUUAUCAAAGUAGUCGAGGAAUGAAAAGGUCAAUAGAGAACAAGAAAGUUUUGGUGUCAAUACAGCAAAAGAAAGUUUUGGAUAUUGACUACGUGUCAAUCAAUGGUUUCUUAUUUUUUAGUCCAUUAUAUAUAUUUUUAUAAAUUUAAAAUUUGAAAAUUUUGAAUUUUAAAUCUUCAUCGUUUUAUUUAUACUACGACUUCAAUAUGUAACAAUUGAAUUUGAACAUUUUAAAAUUAUAUGAAAUUUUUUGCAUCAAAAUAAUUUAGAAAGCAUGUAGUAAGUGAAGUUGAUCUUCGGGGAAGAAAGUGACUUGUCGUUUUUCCUUCAAUUGCUUGUAUAUUAAAGAAACUGAAAUUCUUUGAUUAGCCGACAUUAAUCAAGGUUUCUAGUUUUUUCAGAAAUUUGACGGCAAAAUCCAAUAAAAAUGGACGGAUGGGCUUUUACGAGUGACGGAGAUAAAAGUGAGGGACGCAUUAAAUAUUUACAUAAAAAGUAGGGAGUAUUUCGAUAAUUAUGACAAAUAUCAGGGGUGAAAUAAUUAUUUUCCCUUACGAACUUAAAAAAAAAUUCAGUAUUAUUUCAGGUAAUUAAACUCUCAUUUCUGUUCGCAAACAGGAAAAUUAUAUUCCUUCUUCACCAAAACCGAAAGAAACCCAAGGUGAAGGUGAAGCUAUCCCUCCGAAAAUUGGCACAGAAUUCAGAGCUAACAACUUAGCAGUAAAAACAAAAAAAAGAAGCAGAAGAACAGAAGAAUAAUGAAGAGCAUACCUCUGAUUCUGAUGGGCUGUGGAGGUGUCGGGCGUCAGCUGAUUCAGCACAUUGUCUCAUGCAGAUCUCUUCAUGCCAAGCAGGUUUACUUUGUUUUUAUUUCUUCGUUUGUUUCUUUGAUUUUUAUGAUAUGUUUUAAAAUUGAAAAUCGUCUUCUCUUCAAAUGAUCAGUCCAUUCUAUAAUUGUUUUACUUCAGAGAAUUCACAUUUCCAUAUAAUACUGAAAAUUUGGCUGUACUUAUUGCGAACAGUACCUGUGAAUAGAUUUACCAAAAUUAUGUUUGUUAUAUACUUGUAUUUUUUGUAUGCUGUACAAAUUUUUGGCUGUGGCAGGGAGUCCACUUGAGAGUGGUGGGUGUCUGUGACAGUAAGUCAUUGGUUGCUGCAUCUGAUGUAUUUACCAGGGAAUUGAAUGAUGCAUUUCUAUCUGAAGUUUGCCGCGUCAAGUUGAAUGGUUCAUCACUUUCAACACUUGCUGAUUUUGGUGAGUUACCUGAUUUAGUGAGAGGGUCGAUUUAAAGUUUAUUCACCACUGUACUAAUGAUUCUUUCUUUUGUGUCUCUAUAUAGAUGAAUGCCUAGUCUACUCGAAUUCUGAGUCAAAAAGAAAAGUUAUAGAUAUUGCAGCUCUUCUGGGCAAAUCAACAGGUUCUACUGUUUGUGCCUCUCUUGUUUUUAUCUUUUAAUCCUUUAAAGUUAUUAGAUAUUUAGACUCCACACUAUUGCUUUGUAAAUGAUAAAUUGCAUUUCUAGUAAUGAAAUUAUUUCACUUGUUACUUUUUAUGAUUUGAACAGAAGCUGAAAUGUGGCGUUCAGCUUCUAAACUUUCUGAUUCUGGGAUGACCUUAUUUUGUUCCUUUAUGUGACAGGUUUGGCUUUUGUAGAUUGCUCUGCAAGUUCUGAGACUAUUGGAGUGUUAAACCAAGUGGUCGAUCUAAGAUGUUGCAUUGUCCUGGCAAAUAAGAAGCCUCUUACAUCUACUCUGGUAAUGAACUCUUGUUGCUAUUCUUGUUAGCUAGUGAUAGAAAAUAAUCAAGGGCUUAUAGGCGUUUGGAUGUCCCAUAUGGAUUGUAUGGUACUUGAAUGGAUCUGUUUUGGAAUGAUAACAACUUUAUUGUAAAUAGAAACUAUUUCCUGAUUUUUGGGAGGGAAAGGAUAAGAGUGACUGUAAAGUGAAGGCUGAAGAGUGGUAUCUUUUUGGUUAUAAUUUGUGAAUAGCUGGCUUCAGCCUUUGAGUUUCUGGUCCAAGGGACCAUCAUUUUGUGAAUAUAAGACUUAUUCUAAUUCACUUGGAAUAAUUUCCUAUUAUAUGUGGACCACUCGUUGUCACUUCUCAGGUGCCCUUGAAUCCAAUCUUUUAUUUUUACUUUUAAUAAAGGGUUUGGCAACCUCAGUUAUGAUAGAAAUAAUAAUAGGGUACUGAAGAGAAGUGAACUUUGAUAUCUCUAACUGAGGUUGGUAAUGAAGAAAGUAAUCAAACGAAAGGAAUAUAAGAUUUCUCUCUUCACUUCUCAUGUAAAUAUUUGGACAAAGGAAAACUUUUUGCUUCACUCCUCUCAUCCAAACAGAUCUCCUCUUGCUAUUAUUUUUUGCAGCAGCUCAAAUGUUUCUUCCAUUACAGAUCUGCUGUUCAACAUAUUAAGAACGUUUUGUACUCUUUCUUGCAGGAAGAUUAUGACAAAUUAGUUUCCUAUCCACGCCGCAUUCGGCAUGAGUCAACUGUAAGUCAAAUUAUUUGCUGAUGCAUAUAUCAGAGUUCUUUCUUAAACUUUUCAAAAGAUGAACACAAAAUGUGAGUGGAGUGGUAAAAGAAACUAAUAAUGGAAGCUUCAAACGAGCACACAGCAUGAUUCAAGACUGAAAUUUGUAUUGGUGUUAUUACUGUAUUGAAAUUUGUCUUCAUUCGUUUCACUAGUACAUGUUGGCUCAACUUCUUAUAUU
rnacentral:lncRNA from 1 species